rnacentral:lncRNA from 1 species
UUCUUUUUUUUUUUUUUUUUUUUUUUUGUAGUGUGUUGUAUGCCUGGGUAUAGACUGAAUAAGAUUUGUUUCUGAUAUUUUUCUUCUCUUCUUGUUGGCUGGGAUAUUUUCCGUGAAAAACAAUUUUGAAUCUGAAUACAUAGGCAGCAAAAUUAACUAAAAGAAGGAAAUUCUAUUUCAGCAUUCUUUGGUAUUGAGCAAUUUGUUAUUGUCAUAGGAAAUAGUAGUGGGUCAUAAUGGCGAUCCCCAACGUGCAUACGAAGCUGAUCAACAGACUUGAACCAUGUAUAGCGAAACCACAAUCACCAAAUGGAAGGUCAGUGACACCUAGUCCUUCGGUACCUGGAGGCCAAGCUACUACAAGUGCAUCAAUGUGAUCAAGAUACGGCUGAAUCACGACUGGACGUCCUGAACUACGACACAUUUGACUGAGCCACAGACAAGACAUUGCUCAUGACGCUUGGACCUGGUUCAGGAAUCGUCAAGUCCAAGCUAUCUCCGGGUGUCUUUGCAUAUGGCAGCUCUCCCACUGCUACAAUGGCACCAGAAAAGUUGUUGGAUUUGACAAAUUUGGUGUGUUUGGAUUGCUUGUUUUCGUCGGAAAAUAUUGUCGUUUUUCGUGAUCACAUUUCCCUGUCACCUUUUUCCCUCACAUAUAUCAAAUCGCUACAGUAAUUUUUCCAUGAAAAAUGACGAAAAAUGCAAUUCAAACACAUUAGUAUCAGGAGUUUCCUCGAAGAUGACCUCUGUUGGUUGAUGAAUGGUUUUUCUAAUGGCACCGAGGAUUGUGGUACCUACAGAGAAAUGGUGUCUAUUUCCUCGGUGGUGGCUGAAAUUAAUAAUAUUUCAGGAAUUGAAAGUAAAAAAUUCAGUUCAUGUAUUGAGGAUGCACCAACUGUAAUGUUGCCACUCAAAUGCUCAAUGCUGCUCCAGCCCCCACACUGAAAUCCAAGAUUAUUAUCUGCAUGGCUUCCUGCUGCCCAUGCUCGUGCUGCUAGUCCAACAAGUGGUAUUAGUGGCACAAGAGAUUUUCAGACUGCAAGUUCUCUAUGAGACUGUCCAAAUUAGUUUUCAGAUAAGCAUACCUGAAAUUUUUCUUGAUCUUCUAAGCACCAGUUAGUUGAUUUGACUCCAGGACGAGCAUGUUCUGAAAUUACCUGGUACUUAACCAUAAAAGAUUCAGUCAUAGGCUCCUCACGGCAUUGUCAAUUUAAGUCUUAAGAACAUAGUAAUAGUUAAUUCUUCACUAAGAAGGUUAGCCCAUCAAUGAAUUCUGGGUAGUUGUAUGAAAUCGUAGCCUGUCCAAAUUAUGUGGCUCAAUUGAGUAACUAUAGACAUGCAUAAAAGCGUUCGGUGACAGCAUAAUUACUGUAGAUGACUCGAAAUUAUGCCUCAAAGCAUUUUGAAAUAUUUCACUUGAGACUGCCAUUAUUUAUUUCGGACUCAAUGCAUCAACCAUGUGCCCCGUCCUUCAAUGUAAUUACACAUAUUAAUCCUGGGCCUCAACCAAAGUUUGCUGUUACACAUUUUAUCUUCCAACUUUGUUGAGGACGCGAAGAUUUCCUCUCUCUUUCGACGAAGAUAUUGCUUGUCCUCACAGCAAAUGCAGAAGAUCAAGAAAUGCAUUACGCAAUCUAAUCAAAUGUCUAUCAGUAGGAGUAAUGAGCCUCCGAAGGUUUUGUGGUGAGGCCAAAUCCAAAUGGGAACAACGGGUCAUAAUGUGGAUCUCCAACGUUCAUAGGAAGUUGAUCAACCGUCUUGAACCAUGUACGUGGUAACUUGCCUGAGAAACCAUAGUCGCCAAAUAAGACAUCAGCAACCCCUUGGCCUUCAGUGCCAGGAAGCCAUGCUGCUACAAGUGCAUCGAUUUGAUCAAGAUAUGGUUGUAUCACAACUGGACGCCCAGUGAUGAGAACAACAACACAUUUCACAGAGCCACAGACAUUUCUGAUGGUGCUUGGACCUGGUUCAGGAAUUGUCAAAUUUAAACUAUCUCCAUAUGUCUCUGAAUAUGGUACCUCUCCUACCACUACAAUGGCGUAAGAGAAUUUACUGGACUUGACAAAUGCAGAACCAGGAUUUUCCUCGAAGAUAACUUCUGUUUUUGGGUGGAUGGUGUUUCUAAUGGCGGUAAGAACGGUCGUACCUGCAGGAAAAUAAACGAUUGGAAAAUGUAAAGAUCUUUUUCCUUGUUCCAUUUUGCUUGGGGUGAGGGCCUGAAUAAGAAAUGAAGAGCACAAAUUUAGAAGUUGACUGCUAAUUGAUGUACCAAUUGUGGUGUUGCCACUCAGCCCGUGCCACGACACAGUCCAUCCUCCACACUGGUUGCCAAUGUCAUUGGCAUGGCUGCCUGCGACCAGUAUUCUCGAUGCAUGCUUGGGAAGGGGUAGCAAUGGUUCAUCUUCGAAUCUAACAUUUUUUAGCAGAACAAGAGAUCUUCUCACUGCUUCCCUAGCCAGUUCCCUAUGCUCCUGUCCAAGUCAACAGUUCAAAUGCAUAAAACUUGAUGAUCUUCUCUAAUAAUCCUACAGAAUUGACAGCAGUCUGGGACCUGAGUAUAUUCUCAAAUCUCAACUUACCUGACUUCCAAGGUACUUAAUCAUGCUAUAAUCAGGAAAUGGGUACUCAAAUAGACCCAUCAUGAACUUCACCCUUAGAAUCCUCCGCACAGCAUCAUCAAUUCGGCUCAUAGAAAUGAAAGAGUUGUUCACCAAAUAGGUAAGACCAUCAAUGAAUUCUGUAUAGUUGUAGGGAAUCAUGAUCUGCAAUUCACCAUCAAUCAAAUAAGUAUGGUAAAAUGGACUAACAUGACUUAGCUUCUGACCAUAAUUUACUUUUGGAGCACAAUAUGAACUAACCAUGUCAAUGCCUGCAUUUACACCAACUAAAAUCGAAUAUGUGGAGUUUACAUGCUCUGGUGAAGUCAUCUUGUAAAUACCCUGAGAAUCUGAUAUGACAAACCCCUAAUAUAAUUCACAAACAUUUGAAAAUCAUAUUAUUUACUGCACUAGAUAGGUCUCAGACAUGGUAUUUAUCAAUUCAUGGAAAUCAACGGAGAGAUUAGCUUUACCUCAAAAUGUAGGGUAUUUUUGAGAAAGCCAGUAAUAAGAUCACGAUUAGCAUGCAUCUUUACACCAUUCCAGCUAGAGUAUGAGAUCAUGACAGUUGAUACGCCCUUAAUUAUUGAAUCAUUGUAGGCAGGCAUAUGGAUACGUAGCAGGUCAUCCCAGUUGGCCACUGUAUCGUACUCAUUGAUGCCUCGGAUGGUUCCACCAUCGCCAACAUAGUGCUUUGCACAUGCUAAAACAUUAUUUCUGCGCAUAAUCCAUCCAAAAGGAAGAAAUAUAAAGCAGUGUCUUUUCUAUGUUGAGCAUAUUGUUUAAGCUACAACUUAAACUUCAGCAAAGAAAUUUAGAAUAACUCCCCCAGCUAAAUCCCCAGACUCCAAAAGCAAUUCCCUUUCAGAAAAGAAACAUAAAAAAGAAGAACCACCACAAGGAAAUUUGAAAUUUGCUUAUCAGACCAAUGUGAUACAGAAAAAAACAUGCUUUAGCAUCAAUAAGUGCCUCUUAAAGCUUUGACUCUUCUAUGAAAGAAUUUUGGGCAAAGUUCUGUUUAUUGCACCACAUAUGAGCCAAAGUAAAAAUGAUUGAAGAAGUUUUGUUGCUCAUAUCAUCAUCAAAUAGUCAACCUUGUCGAUUUUUGUCUUAUGUUGUCAAACAGAACAAGGUAACGUCAUUCAUAUACGACUGCAAUCACAAUUCUUCUUAUUUUUGCUUUAAGUCUGCUUUGUUCUUUAUCCUUCUGUAAUAGUUUUAAAAUCCAAAUAGAGAAAAGUUCUAAAUAUUAGCAGAAUUUCAAAUAGAUUUGCAGUGAAAUGAAGAAAGUCAUAGACCUACAAAAACUAAGAAAACACAUCUAUUAAUUCCACCAAAUAACUGCCAGAAUGAGAGUACAAGACAUAAAAACUAGUACAAAACAUGAGAAUGGCUCUUCAUAUUCUAUAAUAGAAAAUGGGCAGGCCUCGAUAGCUGAAAAGCAAGUUAUUGACAUUGUUUGUUGCAAGACAUGAAAGGUACAAGUUGUUGAACCAUACAAUUACAGGAUGCAACCCUUUCAGUACCAUGGAAUGUGCAGUCUAACUAAAAGCCAGAAGGAAAAAUUGUUCAAGUCAAAGAUCCAUGCACACCAUUAAUUAAAGGUUAUCAUUUUGAAAAAACCUACUAUAUUAGACACUAAAUUCUAAAAGUUGGGAUGAAUUAGCAACUUAGGACUUUGUUCAGUAUUUUGUACACACCAGGAUUGAGAAGAAAUAAUUAGUUUGUAUGGAGCUUACUGUCCAGAAAUGUAGGGGACACCCUUAGGAGAAUCAGGAGGAACAUCUCCUUGUAAUCCUAGAAUAAUAUCAGUCAUUGCUUGAACAACUUGGGGAUCUUCACUAUAGCUUUCAAAACAGCGACCCCAUCUGGGAUCUCGACAGACCUGACAAGCAAUAAACUUUGAGUAAAAUGAACAGACUUACAAGAUUUUAAAGGUAAUUUCAGAGAGAAGAUCAUUUGAAUAAUUUUAUUACAGCAACGCAAGGUGCAAAAGAGUACUGUAUGCCUGCAGCUCUAACUUCAAGAGCAGUUGCAGCUCCUAUCUUCUUGACUAGUAAAGGAUCCCUGAUACAAUUAUUGCAGAGUUUAGCAUUAUACCAGCUGAUAAUGCUUAAUCUUCUAGCAAAGUGUCCUAAUCCAUAAUAUGGGAAAAUAGUGAUAGUAUGACAACACGUUUCCGAGAGAAGAAAAUCUUUUUGCUCUUAGCAACAGGACCAGAAAUAUUAUAAGACCAAGUUGUAGACUAGAUCUUCAAUUUGAACAGCUAUCUUUUCCAGGGUUCUGGAAGGCCAAAAUGUAAACUGGUUUUGCAUAAAAUGUCUCGCAAAAAACUUUUUCUUUAUUGCUUGCAAAAGUAGUUUCGAAUUUUCUCAUUCCACUGUUAUGUUGGUUCUGUUCUUUGUUUUAACAUCUCAUUGCAGCAAGUUUGGAAAAUUAACAUAGGACUUGACUAGAGUAAGGUAUAAAUAAUAGAUUCACUUUGAAUUUCAGAAAGCAACUUGCCUAGCUGCUCCAAGACCAAUAUUAUGAGGAAAAACUGUGGCUCCAUAUACAUCAUUGUUGCCAUGAAUUGCAUCGAUCCCAUAUAUGAUAGGUAUGCCAAGACGUGUUGAUAAAGCACCCUUCUGGAAUUCGUUCACCAUGUCCAUCCAGGUCUCAGGAGUAGCCCUGUUAGGUAAAAGACUUUCCCCACCAUUGAACACACUGCCUGCUCAAGAAAAUCAAAAUCUAUAUGAUUUGUUUAUAACUAAUCAAAUACUUGAGCAGACCUCACAGUUUCACAAAUCAUCAUUAAGUGAUACUCUAUCAAAGAGUAGGUAUACCAAGAGUGUGUGAUGUUUAUACCAAUAUAGUAGUUUCUCACGACUUCAGCUGAUGCAACAACGCGAUCAAUUUGGGACAUUUGACCAAUCUUUUCCGCUAGGGUCAUCCUGCUCAUUAAAUCCUUAACUCUCACGUCUACUGGCUGUUUAGGAUCUUUAUAUCUCAUGUACUCUGCUUUUGUCUUCACUGUCCAGCAGCACAAGACCAAAAUCCCCACCACAAAGAAAUGACUCCUUGCCAUUCUUACCAUCAGCAUCCCCUUCACUUCGCAAACUAAUGGACAACACAUAAAAGUCAAUUAGACAAAUACACCAGCAACAUAUAUUCACGAGAUUAAAUAGAAGAAAGCAGCAAUUUAGGAACCAAAAAAUGUAUCCCCUUUUGUUUUUGAUUUUGUGCGUGUGUGUGUGUGGGUGGGUGAAAGGAGGAGGACGGGGGGUGGUUAAGUCAAAAAUUGGCAAUGGCCAAGAGAAUAAAAGAACGCGCACAGUGAUUGUAUUCAAGCAGUCCUUCAAGUCUUACACGAGUACUUGGCCAGCAACGUCCACUUGAAAAUAAUCAGAACAACUAGAAAGCAUUCUGAAGUUUAAUCUAAACAGAAAUGCAAAUUCUUGCACGAACAUCAAAAGCACUGAACAUAAUAAUAGAAGGGAUAAAAUUUAGAGCGAAGAAGUUUUACUAUUUGGGCUCCAUUCCUUUAUUUCAGCAAAUGCUUACAUAUCUAAUCCAUCUAGAAGCUUAUAUUGUCAACCCAAGAAGAUUAGUCCAUGGAAACUUACAGUAGCAGAAAAGAGAUGAUAAUCACACAGUCCAACGGUGGCACUUCUUCUCCGGUGAUGAUUCUUGCUUGGAGCUGGCCAAACACCCUCGCAAACAACACCACCAAACGGGUUUGCUGUUAAUGCGGAAGAGCAUUGAAGUUUGGAAGAAUAGAAGAUUAAAAAGACGAUUAGAGCAGCAAGUUCAGCCAAACGUUUUUAGUAAAAAAUAUUUGAGUGUGGUAGCUUGUUCCGUGGGCAAUUUAUAAACAGCACCAAACCAAGUACUGCUAGAUAUAAAGAAUAAGAGCCACUAUUUGCACUCCGAUCCCUGAGAUUUUCAAUAAUUAGAAAACACCACUCUAUACCUGGCUCGACAGAGUACACAUGACUGGUCCACCACGAUUUUUCUUUUCUUUUCUUUUCUUUUAUUUUUUCCCCACAGGCGAUCGGUCCCCCAUUUUGUGCCACGUAUUUGGAUAUUUCGACUUGUUUAGUGGAAAAAGUCGGCAAGUAAACCUUCACUGGUAGUUUGGGAGUUGAGGAUAGAAAAGAAAAGAAGAGAGAGGUUAAGUUAUGAGAGAAAAUAAAGCAUAAGAAAAGAAGAGAAGAGAUUUUAAUGUUAUUUAAAAAUUUAUGAAAAAAAGAAAAUAAUUUUGAACACAUUGAUCAAUAAAUAUUCCAUUCAAUAGUUUUUUAAGAAUAAAAUAGACAAUUUAAAAAAUUUUUGUAGCCUUUCCAUAUUGUUUCUUUGUUUUCUGCCUGAUUUGGGAUGGAAAUUUUUUUUAACUAUAACGGGUCUUUUCUUCCUCCCAAAUCAGUCAAAUUCUUUUACUUUUUUAUUUCACUAAAACUUUUAAACAUGAAAAAUACCUAUUUUUCUCUUCAACACUUUUCUUUUAUAUUCAAAUCUCAUCUCCCAACCUAGGCAUCAGAACUCAACCCCGAGAACUUUUUGUUUCCAAAUAAAUAAAUAUAAAUAUACAGCAUAUCUCUUGAAAGUCUAACGUGGUAAAUGAUCAUAAUUCUUAGGUGUAUAAAAAAGCACCAACCAACCUAAAGAGGGAAGAGGCGAAGAGGCGUGGGGAUUAGAACAAUUUGAAUUUCGACCAAUUAUAAACCAAUGUUAUAAUAGUGACCUGCCUUCUGUCCUUUGUCCAAGUAGAGAGUCAGAUAAACCGUGGCCCACUGGUCCAUCCGCACAGGUGUAUCGCCGGCUGGAACGCGACUACAAGUUUGCCCCUUCUCUUAAUUGACAAUUUAAGCGAUAGAUUUUGGACAUAUUGCAGUGAUUCGAUCAGAAACAUCGUAGUCCGCAUAACAAACGGCACUCGGGCGGAGCAAAUAAUGUAUCUCAGGGUGCAAUUGCACAUUUGCAGCCCCUCAAUUUUUUUUGAAAGCAAUAGAAUGGCCUAUAAAGAAAAUCUAAUUUUUUUUUAAUAGCUUUACUCUAUACACAUUAUCCACCUACUAUAUACGAAAGAAUUUACAUCUUGAAACCUCAUGCAUAAUUUUAAUUAAUAGUAUGUAAUUUCAUACUAUUAGAUAAUUUGAUAACUACUGCAAAUAAUAAAUAACAAGUUGCAGCAAUUUUCCAAAAAAAAAAAAUUUGUGUAUUUAGAGCAAAUAUUUAGUUGUACUAAAAAUUUAUAAACCAACACGUUGUAAGUAUAAACUAAUGUUGUUAUCCCUCGAAUAAAGUUCCUGACUCAACCACUGGGUAAAUCAUAGCUAUGGUAAUUUUUUUAUUUUAGUGUGUCAGUAACAUCAUUCGAACACGAUAAUCAUUUCUGUGCAAUUUUAAAAAUUUUCAAGGAUGACUUAAUCUUACUUAAUUUAGUUAAUAUUUUUAAAAUAUUAAUACAACAAAUGUUCGAUAAAGAGCUGCUAGUUAUUUGCUUAGUUUCAUAUAUAUAUAUAUAUAUAUAUAUAUAUAUAUAUAUAUAUAUAUACAUAUAUAUAUACAUAUACACACACACACACACACACACAAACCUACAAGUGACAUAUAAAGGAGUGAGAUAAUAUCAAUUGACCCAACAAAAAUUUAAAAAAAUGGGGUUGCUUGCAUUGGUGGAUUUGGACCAUUUUUAGCCGCGGUAGAGAUUUUGUCAACCUAGAUGAGUCAGGCUGACUGGAUUUUAGAUUUCCAUCUCUACUAGUGAAGAUUGAAGAUCGCACAUGAACUAGCGUCUCUUAGUUUAUCGGCUACCAGAGACCUUGCAAGAGUAGGUGCCUCCACUCACGAGUGGCCGGCCCAAGCCCAUUAUGUCCGAGCCCACGACCCACAUUGAUGUGUCAACUCAACCCGCCAGCCGCAACACUGACGUGUACAUAAACCCACCGGUACCUUUCUUUUCUUUAAAAAAAAAAAAAAAAAAAAAGAGAAUGUUACUCACGUCAUGAGAUUUUUUUUUUUUUUUUUUGUGUUGGUGCAUCAGUAAGAUUUCUUCCACAAUGGUUUCUCUGAUUUAUAUCUGAUUCAGCACUACAGGUUUUAGAGCUUGGGUGGGCAUUGGAUGCUGCUUAGCUUAAAAAAGCUUUCCACCUUAAAAGCAAAUUAGUAAAACUAUACUAGAAUGAAAAUACACAUCACAUCACUGGCACCAAUUUCAUCAACUAGUAGCCUGUUAUUUUUCAUUUUUCACCAAAAAUAUGUUUGAAUCAGAAAUUUUUUGUAAUGGUACCAGACUGAGUUACGUGGAAAUUCUCCAAUCCAAUGACAGAAAUGGACAAUUCAAUCAGAUAACAAUCAAUCAAUUGAAAACUAAGAUUCGGAUUUAACUCAGAUAGUUGUAAUUGAAGUAGGAAUUAAAAGAUACAGAAAAGGCGGGAAAAGCUAAGAAGAUGAAUGAGAUUGAAGGAAUUGGGGAAAAAGAAACAGAAAGGGCUCAGCCCAAAUCUCUGUUGAAUUUACACGGAAUUCUUGCUACCUAUUACAUCCAUUCUAUCCUAUUUAUAGAUAUCCAGCUGAUAACCAACUUCAUAGCUUCCAAUUGUCGUGACCAAGUGGCUGAGAACCGUUGCAGCUGAAUUUGAAAGUUUGUUAUUCUUCAUGUGCGUCUGUUGCAGAAAGCAUCCUCCAUUUAAAGGCGUGGUUUUGAAACCACGUUUUCCUUUGCUUCUUCUACCUAUUUCACGCCUUCCCUUACUCUGUCUCCACGCCUUCAGAUUGACUUCAUGACAAUAGCUUCCCCUGCAAUUAAAUCUUGACCUCAAGAUUGGAAUGCUGGAAAUUUGCGUUCUAUCUCUUCUGCAUCUUCCCACGUUGCUUCUGCAGGAGAGGUUCCCUACCACUGAACCAACCAAUAGACUGCUGCUGCAUUUUUUUUCUUAACAAUCUUUCGAUCCAGCACAGCUAUUGGCUCUACCCUGAAGUGACCCUUCUCAUUUGUAUCUGGUAAUUGUAGUACUGGCACCACCUUCUGUCCUAUCUUUUUCUUUAGCAGUGAAACAUGAAAAACUGGGUGUAUUUUGGAUGAAGUUGGGAGCUGAAGUUUGUAGGCUACCUUUCCUAUCUUCUGAAUCACUUGAUAAGGUCCAAAGUACCUGGCUGAUAAUUUGGUGUUGCUUCUCAUCUCCACAGAGUUUUGCCUGUAAGGUUGUAGCCUAAGAUACACCCAAUCCCCAACCACAAAUUCCCUUUCAGACCUCUUUCUAUCAGCAUAGAUCUUCAUUCUGUUCUUGGCCUCCUCCAGGUGCUGCUUAAGCAAUCCUUCGAUCAUCUCCCUUUCCUGUAAGUGAUCUGCCACUGUGGCUACCUUAGAGUGUGAAUACGUACCCAAAGCUAGUUGAGGUGGUUUCAUUCCAUAUAAUGCUUCAAAGGGGCUCAUCUGUAUGGCAGUGUGAUAAGUGGUAUUGUACCACCAUUCUGCCAUUGAUAGCCAGGCAUUCCACCUCUUGGGCUCCUGGUGUGUCAUGCAUCGUAGAUACAUUUCCAAAACUUGAUUCACCCUCUCAGAUUGACCAUCUGUCUGAGGGUGAUAAGCAAUACUUAGGCAUAGUUCAGUCCCCAUUAGUGAGAAUAACUCUGUCCAGAAUUGACUGGUAAAUACCUUAUCUCUGUCUGACAGCAUGCUCAGGGGCAUGCCAUGUAGCCUACAGACCUGAUCCAAGAAGACUCUGGCUACUGUUGGGGCAUCAAAGGGAUGAGUUAGACCUGUGAAGUGAGCAUAUUUAGUGAACCUAUCCACUGUGACCAGGAUUGUGUCCUUCCUUUCUGAAUUGGGCAACCCCUCAAUAAAAUCCAUGGUGACAUGACUCCAGGAGUACUGAGGUGUGGGUAGUGGUUGCAGGAGACCAGGAUACGCAACAUGUUCGUCCUUGCAUCUCCUACAGGUGUCACACUGCAACACUGUCUCCUUGACCUCCUUAUACAUCCCUGGCCAGUGGAAGAACUGCUUGGCCCUUAGAUAGCUAUCUUGCACACCAGAGUGACCUCCCAGCUGUGAAUCAUGGAUGGCAGUGAUGAUUUUUCUCCUGAUUUGACCUCCAUUUCCUACUACCACCCUUCCCUUGUAUUUGAGUAUCCCAUUCUGACAGGAGUAGUCCUGUAGAGUCCCUGGUGUGAGGAUCAGAUUCCUGAGUAUCUCCUGGACCUCUGCAUCUCCUCGAUAGCUUUCCUCCACCUCUUUGAUCCACUCAGGAACGACACAAGUCAUUUCUGCAAUCUCCCCCUCCUCCUUGCUGCUUCUCCUGGACAGUGCAUCUGCAACAACAUUCUCCCUGCCUUUUUUGUAUUGAAUGUCAUAGUGUAAUCCCAAUAGCUUAGUAAGCCACUUCUGUUGGAGUGGAGUAGUGACCCUUUGAUCCAGCAAAUAUUUGAGGCUCUGGUGAUCUGUCCGGAUGGUGAAGUGAUGACCUUCUAGGUAAUGUCUCCAUUUGGUAACUGCAGUAACCAGUGCCAAAAGCUCCUUCUCAUAAAUGGAUAAUCCUAAGUUCUUUGCUCCUAAGCUCUGACUCAAAUAAGCAAUAGGCCUCCUGUCUUGCAUGAGCACUGCUCCAAUCCCUCCAUAGCAUGCAUCUGUUUCUAUGAUGAACGCCUAACUGAAAUCUGGCAAGACCAGCACAGGUGUGCUACACAUUGCCAUCUUAAGCCUCUGGAAUGCCUCCUCAGCCUCUUCAUUCCAUUGGAAUCCCUCUUUUUUCAACAGUGUUGUUAGAGGCUUGGCAAUGGAACCAUAACCCCUCACAAACUUCCUAUAGUAGCCUGUUAAGCCUAGAAAUCCCUUUAGUUGUUUCAUAUUUCCAGGACGUGGCCAGUUUAUCAUCCCUUCAAUCUUCCUAGGGUCUGCCUGCACUCCUUCAGCAGUGAUUAUAUGGCCCAAGUACUCCAUUUGAGUCUGUGCAAAACAGCAUUUGCUCUGCUUUGCAAACAGUUGGUGCUGUCUCAACAGGUCCAGAACUUCUGUCACGUGUUGGAGAUGAGUUUCCAGUGUGGGGCUAUAUACCAAGAUGUCAUCAAAGAACACUAUCACAAAUUUCCUCAGCUGCUCCUUGAAAACCUGGUUCAUUAAGCUCUGAAAAGUAGCAGGGGCAUUAGUUAGGCCAAAUGGCAUCACCUUGAAUUCGUAUAGUCCUUGAUGAGUCCUGAAUGCAGUCUUGUGUCUGUCCUCCAUCUUGACCCUGAUUUGAUGGUAACCUGCCCUUAGAUCAAUUUUAGUAAAGUACCUGGAUCCAUGUAAUUCGUCAAUCAGCUCAUCAAUCAGAGGCAUUGGAAAUUUAUCCUUCACUGUGAGCUCAUUGAGUUGCCUGUAGUCCACACAAAACCUCCAGCUUCCAUCCUUCUUUUUGACUAACAGGACUGGAGAGGCAAAGGAGUUGUUGCUAGGCUGAAUAAUUCCCAUUUGUAGCAUUUCCCUGACCAGCUUUUCUAUUUCUGACUUCUGUACAUAAGGGCAUCUGUAGGGUCUGAGUUGGAAGGGUCUGGCACCUUCUUUGAGUGGUAUCCCAUGGUCAUGGCUCCUAGGAGGAGGUAGGCCCUGUGGCUCAACAAAUAUAUCCUGGUACUGGUUCAGCAUUUGUUUCACUUCUGCUGGCACCUCAUCCUGUCCUUCCUCCAGUAUGGUGAGAAGUGCAGUUACUCCAUACUCUUGUUUCCUCCUCCAUUUCAUCAACUUGCUCCCUUUAAUGGCUGUCAGCUUAAGCUUAUUAGAUUCACCCUUCAGCUCCACUUUCUCCUUCCCUCUUGUGAAUUUCAUGCUCAACUGGUUAAAGUCAAAUUCGAUGGGACUAUAUCUGGCCAGCCAGUCCACCCCCAGCACCAUAUCACAACUUCCUAGCUGCAAAGUGUUGAAGUGGUGCUGAAACUCAUGUCCCUGUAUCUUCCAACUUAGUGGUCUGCUGAGCUGUCUGGACUCCAACCUUUCCCCAUUAGCCACUCUAACCACCAGGGGAGUUCCUGUUACCUGCAGUUGCAGGUGGGAAGCCACCAUUUCAUCCAGAAAACAAUGAGUGCUGCCACUGUCAACCAGAAUUAAGAGUUCCUUCCCUGCCAGUACCCCUUUUAGCUUAAAGGUGCUGUGUCCCUCUCCUCCAGAUAAUGUGUGGAUUGAAACCUCUAUCCUUUCAUUACUGAUUCCUCCCUCAAUACAGUCACAAAACUCUUCUCCUUCAUCCAUUUCCCCUUCAGCUACUUCAAUUAGCUCAGUUGGUUCAUCCUCCAAGAUAUACUGAAUCUGAGCUUGCUUGCAGAUGUGGCCUAGAGUGUAAGGUUCUGCACACUUGUAGCAUAAUCCCUUCUCCCUCCUGUAGUUGAAUUCUGUGGGAGAGAUUUUCCUGAAAUUGUCUGCUGUGUUUCCCCCUGCCUUGGGUCCCCUGUGGUAAUUGUCCCUGAGUAUCCUAGAGCCUUCAUGGUGCCAUUUGUUCCUCAAUUGUGGGACAGGGUUUGGCCUGCUGCUUCCCAGGGAGCUGGAAUGGUAUGGGGCCCCAUGGGGUAUUGUCCUCUGUGCCUUCCUUAUAACUUCUAAAUUCUUCUCCUCAGCUUAGCAGCUUCUAUAGUGUCUGCCAAAGUACGGGGUCUAGCCAUCCUCACCAUGUUUACAAUUUCCCCCUUCAAGCCACUCAUAAAACAAGAUUUAUAAUAGGAGUCAGGUUGGUUGGGUAGUAGAGGCAUUACCAAGGAUUUGAGUAGUUCAAAUUUUUCCAGGUAGUCAGUCACACUACCAGUCUGAGCCAGUUUGUUGAAUUCUUCUAUGGUUUCUUCUGGUGUUCCUCCUCCAAACCUCUCGCAAAUGGCCCUGGACAGCUCCUCCCAAGGAACUUCAGCUCUUCCAUGGUACAUUCCAAGGAACCAGAUAUCCGCCUUCCCUUUGAGAUGCAGUUGAGCCAGAUCAGAUUUCAGUUCCUCUUCCACUCCCUGGAUCUGGAAAUACUUGUUGGCUCUCCUGACCCAUUCCCUAGGAUUCUCUCCAUCAAACACAGGGAAGUCAAGCUUUGGCAACCUGUUUCCUCCUCUUCCUUCUAUUCUCUCAGGUUUUUUGCUGACCAGAUCCAACCUCUGAUAUCCUCCUGAACUACUUCCUUCCUUUCCUUUUUCCUUGUCAGAUAGCUUGGCCAUCAUCUGCGCCAUCAUAUUCAUCAUACUCUCAUAUUUCUGAUCCAAGUUUUUUAUAGUUUUUUCAGUACUCUCUUGCCUGUGCUCCAUAGCUCUCAUGGCUUGCUCCAUUCCAUCGUUCUUAUUGGCAAACGUCCUCAUGACACUCCCUAGCUCAGUCAGGUCCUUCUUCAUCAUCUCCUCCUGUGUCUUAGUCAUCCCUAAUGGCUCGUAGCUAGCUCUGAUACCACUGUAAUGGUACUAGACUGAGCUAUGUGAAAAUUCUCCAAUCCAAUGACAGAAAUGGACAAUUCAAUCAGAUAACAAUCAAUCAAUUGAAAACUAAGAUUCGGAUUUAACUCAGAUAGUUGUAAUUGAAGUAGGAAUUAAAAGAUACAGAAAAGGCGGGAAAAGCUAAGAAGAUGAAUGAGAUUGAAGGAAUUGGGGAAAAAGAAACAAAAAGGGCUCAGCCCAAAUCUCUGUUGAAUUUACACGGAAUUCUUGCUACCUAUUACAUCCAUUCUAUCCUAUUUAUAGAUAUCCAGCUGAUAACCAACUUCAUAGCUUCCAAUUGUCAUGACCAAGUGGCUGAGAACCGUUGCAGCUGAAUUUGAAAGUUUGUUAUUCUUCAUGUGCGUCUGUUGCAGAAAGCAUCCUCCAUUUAAAGGCGUGGUUUUGAAACCACGUUUUCCUUUGCUUCUUCUACCUAUUUCACGCCUUCCCUUACUCUGUCUCCACGCCUUCAGAUUGACUUCAUGACAUUUUUCUCACUCAGGGUUUCAGUUGCCCUUCUUGGCUUCUGUGUUCAGGCCAUAUCCAAAUGGGUACAAUGGGUCAUAAUGUCUGUCCCCGACGUUCAUGGGCAGUUGAUCAACCGUCUUGAACCAUGUAUGAGGAAGCUUGCCCGUGAAACCAUAGUCACCAAAUAAAACAUCAGCAACCCCUUGGCCCUCAGUUCCUGGAAGCCAAGCAGCUACAAGUGCAUCAAUUCGAUUCACGUAUGGCUGAAUGACGACAGGCCGGCCGGUGAUCAGAACUACAACGCAUCUCACAGACCCACAAACGUUAGUAAUGGUACUAGGGCCUGGUUCAGGAAUCGUCAAGUUUAAGCUGUCCCCGACUGUUUCAGCAUAUGGUGGCUCUCCCACCACAACAACCGCAUAGGAGAACUUGUUGGACUUGACGAAUUCUGCAUCAGGUUUUUCGCUGUACACAACUUCUGUUGUUGGAUCAACUGCAUUUCUUAUACCAGUCAGGAUUGUGGUACCUGUUUACCAGAAAAGAAUAAGUUGGAGUCAGUUACCAGUACGAAUAAAUGCCAUCACUGCUACUGCUAUCAGCUAAAAUGAUAACCAAAGAACCUUUUGUGAUGUUGCCGCUGAGGCCUUGCCACUCAAUUGUCCACCCACCACAUUGGUUACCAAUAUUAUCAGCGUGGGUUCCUGCAACUAGAAUGCGUUUCGCUUUCUUGGGGAGGGGUAGCAAUGGCUUGGCUGCGGAUUCGCCAUUCUUCAACAGCACAAGAGAUUUCCUCACUGCUUCUCUUGCCAGGUCUCUGUGCUCCUGUUAACGUUAAAAAAGUGUUUAAACUUGGGGCCAAGUGAUCUCAACUUCUCUUUCAUCUUUUCUAUUCAAUCCGCUCUUUGUAAAUCGACACCCACUUACCUGCAACCCAACGUAUUUGGUCAUGCUAUAGUCGGCCAAUGGGUGCUCAAAGAUGCCCAUCGUGAACUUCACCCUCAAAAUCCUCUUCACUGCAUCAUCAAUUCGGCUCAUUGGAACAAAAUUGUUCUUAACCAGGAAGGUUAGACCAUCAAUGAAUUCUGUAUAGUUGUAUGGAAUCAUGAUCUGCAACAUCCGAAAAAUAACACAAGUCCUUCAGCAUUUAGCAGAGUAGAUUAAUAUUAUAAGCUUGUUAAGCAAAUCAGACUGACCAUGUCAAUUCCGGCGCUGACACCAGUGACAAUUGAGUAUGUGUAAUUUGCAUGAGGAGGAGAGGUAAUAGUGUCAAUGCCUUGCCAAUCUGAGAUGACAAAUCCCUGAAUAAUAAUUCAGAACUUAAUUAAUCCUGUGCUCGAUUGGAGAUGUCGAAUGAGGAACUGGAAGCAGGAAGGAGUACUUUUUACUUUCGAAACUGAUUAGUUUACCCUAAAUCUCAGCGUGUUCUUAAGAAAACCAGUGAUCAUUUCACGAUUAGCAUGCAUCUUUAUUCCAUUCCAGCUUGAAUAGGAGAUCAUGACAGUUGAUACACCCUUGAUAAUUGCAUUAUAAUAGCCGGCCAUAUGGAUGCUAAGCAAACCAUGCCUGCUGAUCACUGUAUUAUUCCCAUUGAUGCCUUCAGUCGUUCCUCCAUCACCAACAAAGUGCUUAGCACAUGCAGCAAUGUUCUUUCUGCCAAAAAAAAAAAAAGAUUAAUCAAGAAUGCAAAUUCCGAAGGUACAGGGUAUACAAUUUCUGGGAAUUUAUUAUCCAUUCCUAGAAUAAUAUUUUAAAAAAAUAUACAAAUUUUAGAUCGAAUGGAGUAAUUUUCAUGUAUCUUCUAAUUGACACCGGGUAAAGCUAAACAACCUCCCAAUUCCAAGUUUUGAAGCUUUGAACGGUCAAUUGGACUUUCUAACCUUUUUGUGGGCAUUUGGUUAGAUAUCUUAUUUACUAGUAGAUGUUCUUUGUUACCCCUGUUUUAAAGUUCAAUCAAUCCGGUCCACAUCAGUUCUUGACAAAAAAAAAUGUAAAAGCUAACAUCCAACUGAAGGAGUGGACUAUAGCAAACAAGGUGACGGGCAAGCAAGUCGCUGCAUAAACGGGGAAGGCCGCGAACUUGAGCAAAAAAAAAAAGUGGCCGGAGCAGAAUGAGAUGAGCAUGAAAGCUGUGGAUACAAACAGCGAAGUUAAACCCAAUAGAAGCUUACUGGGCAAGCUGGUGCCAAAAUCUUUUUCUUGGUACCUAGACGUGAGAAUGGCUAGAAACAUGACUAAGGAGGUGACCGAAAAGCAAAGCGCAACAAGGGAUGAAAUGGCGAAGCAGUCAAAUGCGGGCUUGGGAAAUUAUGGAUUUAUCCCGAAAUUUUAGUCAGAUCCGAGUUUGGAAAAUUUGGGAUUAACGGAUGUUUCCGAUUUUGUCCUUGAAAUUAUGCCGGUGUGCUAUUUUUAGCCGAAAAAGGGCAAAUACGAGCAUUAUAAUGAAAUUGGCUCAUAAUUUAUAAAUUAAGAAAUAUUCUGGCUGAUUUUAAAUGUCAGGGACUAAAAAAAAUUUUUGUGAAAAUAUUGGGGAUCAAUUUGGCUAAUUUACCAUCAAGAAAAUGAUGGAAUAAGAGGAAUUUGCAAUACGUACUGGCCAGCAAGAUAAGGAACCCCUAAGCGGCCAUUGGAAGGGAUUUCCCCUUGUAAUCCCGGAAUAAUCUCAGUCAUUGCGCUCACAAUUUUGGGAUCUUCACUAUAGCUUUCAUAACACCGGCCCCAUCUGGGAUCUCUGCAGACCUAAUCACAGAUCAGAAAGGGCACUUAUUUUGAUUGUUUCAAUGUACUCUGAGCUGCAUAACAAUUAAUGGAUCACAGAAAGAGUUAAAUUACCGCAAUGCAUGGUGCAAAAGCAUAUUGAAUGCCUGUAGCUCUCACUUCAAGGGCAGUUGCAGCUCCAAUCUUCUUCACCAGUGCAGGGUCCCUGCUCAAGCGGGUAACUCAAAGAGUUUAAUUGCCACAUUCAAUUAAAGAUUCAAUAUUGAGAAGAGGGUAAAUUCCAUUUUAUCCCCUUAAACUAUGCCCAAAAUCUCACUAUAGUCCCUAAACUUUAAAAUGGGACAUUUAAAUCCUUAAACUAUAUAAUCCGUCCCACUUUACUCCAAAUUUUGACGAAAUACACAAAAUCUAACAGAAUAGUUGCCAAUUCAUUUAGGUUAUAAUUAUAAUUUAAUUUAAUCAAAUCUAAUAGGGACAUAAAUAUAAUUUAAUGAGACCCAAUAUAAAAAAAACAAAGAGUCAGAGAGAUAAAGAUAAUUUUACCUCUUUAAUUAAUAAUAAUUAAAGUUUUUUCCCUUUUUUAAUCGAAAAGCCAUGUUUUUAAACUUUACUUUUCUUUUUUUUUUCCACCUUUUUUUCUAUUUUCCUUUCAUUUCCUUUUCUAUUUUUUCCUUUCUUUCUUCACUACCUUCUUCCUCCAUUACCGCACAUCAACCACUGCUACACAUCAUCUACCUUUUCUCUUGCCAUCAUCAUCCGCCACGUUUUACUACUUCAUUCUCCUCCCGAUGAUGAAUCCAAAAAUAUGAUGUUUAUCACAGAAGAAAUCACAAAAUGUUUGCCAUACCAAUACAUCACCAUUUGUACUUAUCACAACCUGUAACUUGUUUCUUGUCUCCUUUUUGAAUAGCCGCCCCACCCAAUUUCUUAUCCCCUCUUCUCCAUUCACCUAAUUUCAUAUCACAACGUUGUAGGAGCAUUUUUUUAUGUUGUAACGGAAAUAAUGUAAAUGAUUUGUUCAAGAAAAGAAUACUGCAAACAAAUUUGAGAUUUCUUGAAAACCAAUUUUACAAAUACCAACUGAAUUUAAACCCAGAAAUCUAGAAACAUAUUUUGAGAGAAGGAGAGAAAAAGAAAAGAACGAAAGACCAUCGAGAAAAUGGGUCAAUCCUGUUUGAUUUGUUUCCCACCAGCCAAAUCACAGAAUACAAAUUUCCUCAAGAGGAAAGUUGUGAGAUAAAUAAAAUAAUAUUUUCCUCCAACCUAUUAGCUCUGAGCGUACCUGACCCGGCUUUUGAGUCUCGGCUCCGAGACAAAGCCUACCUCGAAAUCCUCGACCAACACACCUCCGACCUCCAUCGUCUUUCCACCUCCACUUCCGUAGCACGAUCCACCCCCUCUUCCUCCUCCUCCAACACCACCGCCACCACCAUCCCUUAUGGCCUCGUUAUCUCCCUCUUUUCCCACUCAAAAUUCUUUGUUGAUAUUGAUUUGGUUUCUGAUAUUUAAAAUUUUUUUUCGUGAUUAUAUUAUAAUAAUUAACAAAUGGAGGGCUGCGAGUCAAGGGUAUGAUCAGAGCUUCUGGUGGCAAACGGUGGUAGUGGGUGGCAUGGGCGGUGUGUGGCUGGGAUGAAGGGAGAGAUAGGGAGGAAGAGAAAGAAGGUGAAUGAAUAAUUUUUAAAAAUUUGGAGUGUAUCAAAAGCUUUGGAUUUCAUGAAAUUACACUUAUGUCCCUGUUGGAUUUGGUUAACUUUAGUUAUAAUAAUAACUAACAGAAUUGGCAAAUAUUCUAUUUGGUUUUGUGCAUUCUGUUAAAAAUUGGAGUAAGGCGGACAUGUUUAUAGUUUAAGGAUUUAAAUAUCUCAUUUUGAAGUUUAGGGAUUAAAAUGAGAUUUUGCUUAUAGUUUGAGGGGAUAAAGUGGAAUUUACCCUCGAAAAGAUAGAUAUCAAAUGAUGCCAAAAAGAGCCGUAUCCCUCCCCGCUAAAUCCCUCCCCGUCCUUCUCCCCAAGACAAGAACUUCAGCUGCAGCUUUUUCAUAAAACAACAAACAAAAUGGUGGACUUCAGCUACUACAAUACAAGAGUGCGUUUUGGAGUACUCUCCAAAUUAUAAGCAAAUAACUCACGUCAAAUAAUUGUAAUACGAACUACUAGCCACAUAAAAAAUGGUCGUAAUCAAAGGAGAUGUGGAUUAAUCAUCGUCAUCUAGAAACUUAAUCACAGCCAAAUGGUCGUGCAGACUUACCUAGUGGCUCCAAGACCAAUAUUAUGAGGAAAAACGGUAGCCUUGUAGACAGUGUUGUGGCCAUGAACAGCGUCAAUCCCAUAAAUCAUUGGUAUCCCAAGACGCGUAGACAAUGAACCCUUUUGGAAAUCGUUUACCAUGUCCACCCAUGUCUCCGGCGAAGCCUGCUUAGCUGGAACACUCCCUCCACCACUCAGUACACUCCCUGCAAAUAACUGACAUUUUAAUCCCAGAAAAAGAAAAACGACAACACAUAACGAGCUCUUCUAAUUAACUGCAAAAAUCAGUUUUUUCAAAGUGCAGAUUAUUGAUGCAUACCAAUGUAGUACUUUUUCAUGAUCUCUCUGGAUGCGAUACUACGAUCUAUCUGCACCAUUUGGCCAAUUUUCUCCUCUAAGGUCAUCCUGCUCAAUAAAUCCUUAAUUCUAGUAUUUAAGGGCUGUUUGGGAUCCUUAUAAGGCAAGUACUCUGCUUCUGCUUUCAUGGCUGCACAGAUGCAGAACAAUGCGAUCCCAAAAGCCAGUAAGGAACCCUUUGCCAUCUUGAGCCUCAGCAUUACCUUCAACAGACAAAAGAGAACAGAAAAUUCUAUUAGAUUCCAAGCAUCCCAUCAAUAAAUCUCACUGAUGUAAACCGUGGCUUUGGAAAACGUUUAGACAACUGAAGUACAAGGAAGCAGCAUUUUCCCAAAUUUUGCCGUUUUAAAUCUGGAGAUGAACUAUUCAAGUAUUUGGAAGAGCAAUUAUUGGACAGGAGAAUAUCUUGGACAGUGGACACACGAAACAUGAAACGUGAACAUGUAUGUCCAUGCGUUUGUUUGACGAAAUGGACUUGUUAAAAAAGCGAAGACGAGUAAAAAAGGAAAUCUUGGGAAAGUAUAAAAUUAUCAAUGUAACACUAUGAUAGUUAGGAAAAUCAAGAUAAACUAUCAAGAAUCUUGAAAAAGGAACCAAAAAGUCCCUCUAAAAAAAAUGGAACCAAAAAGUUUUAUCUGAACGUAUGAGAUGCCCAGGAAAACAGUCCAAUGCUAUUAAAGAAUCAGAGCCUACUAUCACCGAUAGCCACUGAGUGGUGGUCUAUGGCUGCCGAUUUAAGGUAGGGAUGUAACUUACAGAGGAUGCAGCCAAAAUUGCACCCCAGCACACCAACUACUACUAUGCUUUUAGUAGUACAGUGUUUCUUUGUCGCUGAGAGAGAGAGAGAGAGAGAGAGAGAGAGAGAGAGAGAGAGAGUACACAGCUGCAGAUGAAAUGGGAUGUAGAGGGAUGCCAUUUAUAGAAAAACGUUCUGUCAUUUAAUUGGCUUGGUUACCCAUUGAUGCGGAUAUGCCCUCCAUAUUGUGCUGUAAAAGUCUGAUAUUAAGUUUGAUGGAGUUUUUUGCCAAAAUAACACUAUGUUAUUGUUGCCACCUAAUUUAUAGUUUCCAAAAUGAAUUAAAAAUUUAAAAUUUUUUUUAUUAUAGAGGAACAAGAAGAUUGCAUAACUUUUAUAAUUUCCUUAUAAUUAUUUAACAUAAAUUCUGCCAUUAUUGACCUUGCUAUUAUUGGUUUCUGAAUUUCUUAAAAUGAAUCAAACCUAUUGCAUAUAUUUUUUCAAAAAAAAAAUUAAAAAAUACAAAAAUUGCAACAAAAAUUUCAAUAAAAAUUGUAAGCAAUUACAAAUACUUCAAGGUGAUCAUAUUUGUUUAUGUUACCCUUCCUACUUCUUAAAAAGACAAGAGAAUAAUUUUUAUCUGCCUUGAGAUUAUCGAUUUGAGAAGCAUAUUUUUUAGGUGUUGUUAAUAUAAAUAUUGGCUUCUUAGGAUUAUGUUUGACAAAGGAAAAAUAAUUAAACAAAAAAAUGCGAGAAGGUUUAGAAAAAAAUUGGAGAAGACAUUAUAUGGGAAAGAGAAAUGAAAUAUGCCUUUAUCUCCAUCCUAGGACAUAUGCAGCUUAAGUGGCAAAAAAAGGAUCAUAAAAAUAAUAAAAUUUAAAAUUAGGUUACUUUGAGUAUAUGUUUUGGAAGACGAGUUAUUUUGGCAAUAAACUCAAGUUUGAUGCUAGGGUACUGAAAUGCUGGUCCACGUACACUGCAGCCCCAAGUGAAGACAGUAAUGGAACUUUGACGUUUUUGUAAGGUAGGGGAUUCAAACUAGUAAUAAGUUAAUGUAAAAAUAAUUCAAAACGUAUCUCAUAUUUUAUUAAACAAUUUUUUUCUCAAUUUUAAAAUAUUAAUUUUGCAUUUUUAUCAAUAUUUAGUUUCAACCUAAAUUUUCAAUUAUCUUUUAGUCUAAAUUCAUCACGUGAUCCACAUACAGUUAUUUUUAUAUACAAAAAUGUUAGAUCCCACUUUCUUUGUAGCAAAAAAAUAUAGAUUAGCUCAGAUCUUAUUUUUUUGAAAAAAAAUAAAAAUGAUUCAAGUCAAAUCCUAUUUUUUUUGAAGCAAAAUUGAAUAUGGAUUAGGCCAUUUGUUUAAUUACAAAUGAGAUCUAAUCUUUUUGCCCCUUAAAAAAUGACUAUAUGUGAAUCAUGUGAUGAAUUCAAGAUGAAAAAUGGUCGAAAACUUAGAUUUGAAUCAAAUUUUAUCAAUUUGAUUUUAUAAGGAUGUAAAAUUAAUAUUUUUAAAGCGAAUGAUUAAAAAAAUCAUUUGACAAAAUGUGAGAGACAUUUUAAAUAAUUUUCCCAUAACUGAUUUACUUCUCUCAGUAACUGCUCUAUCUUGUACUCUCUCCUUUUUUCUUUUUUUUUGAUACAUUUAUUUAGCUGAUUUCUUUGGUCAUUUGAACAAUGACAAAGCGUAAUACUUGCGUGAUUUUUUUUUUUCUUCUUGGGAAAUUUGGUCGAACACUCAACACGAAUACAAAUCAAGCUAACAACUUCUAGAAAGUUGAGAUUUUGAUAUUCCUAAAAUCCAAACUUAAAUAAUGUACAUAGAUUGUAAUUUUUUGUCAAAAAAUAUUUAUUUAUAUCACAAACAUAUUUUUCAGCACACUUUUUAUUUUUCUAAUUACCUUUUUAUCUCACAUAUAUCACAUCAUAAAAAGUAUUACAAUAAUUAUUAUAAAUAAUAUUUUAAAUAGUUUCCUAUCCAAAAUAAUCUCUUAUCCAAGUGUUACAGUAAUUAUUUAAAAUAAUCUCUUAUCCAAACAUAUAUUUUCUGAAAUUAUGAGUCUGUUUGGAUGACAUGUUUAUUAGGUGUUUAUCUAAAAUUUUAUUAUAUUUAUUUUUUUAAAAAUACUGAUAUAUGUCCAAAACACUCUUUUUUUUUCCAAAUAUCCCCCUUUUUACCUCGCGUGCUACUCGCCAUCCACCGCUGCUACCGGCCUCCGCCGUCAUUACCAUAUUUAGCUCUUUUUUUUUUUCAUUUUAUUAGACCUUCUGGGUAUUUUUGUGUAUUACUAUAGAUGCUGUUUUUUAAAAUUUUAUUUCCUAAAAAGUUACCGAAUAGACCCUAUGUUUAAUUUUAUAUGUAAUCCUAUUGGUGGUUCCCAAUUCGCUUUAGAACAAUUUAACUUAAAAUUUUAUUUGAAUAUGUUUGACAUUGAUCAAUGUACACUCUGUGAGAGGAGUCUUAUAUGGUAUUUGUUUGGAUCAGUGUAUUUGAAUUGACUAAGUUUCAUAUGCAAGUGAGAUUGAUCUACUUUCAUGAGAAUGAUCGUGUUUCCAAAAUUUAUUGUUGAUGUAAGAACUGUGUUGGUAAACGUUCUGUAAAUAAGUUAUUGUUUUAAAGAUAUACUUUGAUAUGUGAUGGUAAUCGGAACUGAAUCCAUCAAUUUUAUUUUAACAUUUUACUACCAAAAAAUAUUAUGACUUUGUUUUCUUUACCCAGAAUAUAUAUAUAUUUUAAAAAAAAAAAAAAAGACGACAAAGAGACAGAGAGACGGGGAAAGGACUGAACUGGGAUUCUUACCAUCAGCAUCCCCUUCAAUUCGCAAACUAAUAGACAACACAUAAAACUCAAUUAGAUAAAUAUACCAGCAACAUAUAUGCACGAGAUUAAAUUGAAGAAAGCAGCAAUUUAGGAAGCUAAAAAUGUAUCCCCUUUUGUUUUCUGGGUUUUUUUUUUUGGGUGGCGGGGAGGGGGGGGUUGUUAAGUAAAAAAUUGGUAAUAGCCAAGUGAUUGUAUUCAAGCAGUCCUUCAAGUUACACGAGUUCUUGGCCAGCGACGUCCACUAGAAAAUAAUCAGAAAAACUGGAAAGCAUUCUGAAGUUUAAUCUAAACAGAAAUGCAAAUUCUUGCACGAACAUCAAAAGCACUGAACAUAAUAGAAGGGAUAGAUUUUAGAGCGAAGAAGUUUUACCAUUUGGGCUCCAUUCCUUUAUUUCAGCAAAUGCUUACAUAUCUAAUCCAUCUAGAAGCUUAUAUUGUCAACCCAAGAAGAUUAGUCCAUGGAAACUUACAGUAGCAGAAAAGAGAUGAUAAUCACACAGUCCAACGGUGGCACUUCUUCUCCGGUGAUGAUUCUUGCUUGGAGCUGGCCAAACACCCUCGCAAACAACACCACCAAACGGGUUUGCUGUUAAUGCGGAAGAGCAUUGAAGUUUGGAAGAAUAGAAGAUUAAAAAGACGAUUAGAGCAGCAAGUUCAGCCAAACGUUUUUAGUAAAAAAUAUUUGAGUGUGGUAGCUUGUUCCGUGGGCAAUUUAUAAACAGCACCAAACCAAGUACUGCUAGAUAUAAAGAAUAAGAGCCACUAUUUGCACUCCGAUCCCUGAGAUUUUCAAUAAUUAGAAAACACCACUCUAUACCUGGCUCGACAGAGUACACAUGACUGGUCCACCACGAUUUUUCUUUUCUUUUCUUUUCUUUUAUUUUUUCCCCACAGGCGAUCGGUCCCCCAUUUUGUGCCACGUAUUUGGAUAUUUCGACUUGUUUAGUGGAAAAAGUCGGCAAGUAAACCUUCACUGGUAGUUUGGGAGUUGAGGAUAGAAAAGAAAAGAAGAGAGAGGUUAAGUUAUGAGAGAAAAUAAAGCAUAAGAAAAGAAGAGAAGAGAUUUUAAUGUUAUUUAAAAAUUUAUGAAAAAAAGAAAAUAAUUUUGAACACAUUGAUCAAUAAAUAUUCCAUUCAAUAGUUUUUUAAGAAUAAAAUAGACAAUUUAAAAAAUUUUUGUAGCCUUUCCAUAUUGUUUCUUUGUUUUCUGCCUGAUUUGGGAUGGAAAUUUUUUUUAACUAUAACGGGUCUUUUCUUCCUCCCAAAUCAGUCAAAUUCUUUUACUUUUUUAUUUCACUAAAACUUUUAAACAUGAAAAAUACCUAUUUUUCUCUUCAACACUUUUCUUUUAUAUUCAAAUCUCAUCUCCCAACCUAGGCAUCAGAACUCAACCCCGAGAACUUUUUGUUUCCAAACAAAUAAAUAUAAAUAUACAGCAUAUCUCUUGAAAGUCUAACAUGGUAAAUGAUCAUAAAUAAUUGUUAUACAGCAUAAAUAAUUGUUAUUAGGUGUAUAAAAAAAGCACCAACCAACCUAAAGAGGGAAGAGGCGUGGGGAUUAGAACAAUUUGAAUUUCGACCAAUUAUAAACCAAUGUUAUAAUAGUGACCUGCCUUCUGUCCUUUGUCCAAGUAAAGAGUCAGAUAAACCGUGGCCCACUGGUCCAUCCGCACAAGCGUAUCGCCAGCUGGAACGCGACUACAAGAUUGCCUCUUCUCUUAAUUGACAAUUUAAGCGAUAGAUUUUGGACAUAUUGCAGUGAUUCGAUCAGAAACAUCGUAGUCCGCAUAACUAACGGCACUCGGGCGGAGCAAAUAUCUCUCAGGGUGCAAUUGCACAUUUGCAGCCCCUCAAUUUUUUUUGAAAGCUAUAGAAUGGCCUAUAAAGAAAAUCUAAAUUUUUUUUAAUAGCUUUACUCUAUACACAUUAUCCACCUACUAUAUACGCAAGAAUUUACAUCUUGAAACCUCAUGCAUAAUUUUAAUUAAUAGUAUGUAAUUUCAUACUAUUAGAUAAUUUGAUAACUACUGCAAAUAAUAAAUAACAAGUUGCAGCAAUUUUCCAAAAAAAAAAAAUUGUGUAUUUAGAGCAAAUAUUUAGUUGUACUAAAAAUUUAUAAACCAACACGUUGUAAGUAUAAACUAAUGUUGUUAUCCCUCGAAUAAAGUUCCUGACUCAACCACUGGGUAAAUCAUAGCUAUGGUAAUUUUUUUAUUUUAGUGUGUCAGUAACAUCAUUCGAACACGAUAACAUCAUUCGAACACGAUAAUCAUUUCUGUGCAAUUUGAAAAAUUUUCACGGAUGACUUAAUCUUACUUAAUUUAGUUAAUAUUUUUAAAAUAUUAAAACCACAAAUGUUCGAUAAAGAGCUGCUAGUUAUUUGCUUAGUUUCAUACAUAUAUACACACACACACACAUAAACCUACAAGUGACACAAGUGUGUUUGGACAGGAGAUUAUUUGUCCAAAUAUAUUUGCUUACAUCACCAUUACAAUUUUCAAUAUAUUUUUUUAAUUUUUCAAUUACUUUUUUAUCUCAUAUACAUCAUAUCACAAAAAGUGUUACAGUAACGCGGAUUUGGUACCAUUUUUAGCCGAUAAUGCGGUAGAGAUUUUGUCAACCUAGAUGAGUCAUGGCUGACUGGAUUUUAGAUUUCCACGUCUACUAGUGAAGAUUGAGGAUCGCAGAUGAACUAGCAUCUCUUAGCUUAUCGGCUACCAGAGACCUUGCAAGAGUAGGUGCCUCCACUCACGAGUGGCCGGCCCACGCCCAUUAUGUCCGAGCCCACCACCCACAUUGAAGUAUAAACUCAACCCGCCAGCCGCAAACACUGACGUGUACAUAAACCCACCGGUUCUUUUCUUUUCUUUUCUUUAAAAAAAAAAAAAAAAAGAGAUAAGGCCACCUUGAAAUUUUCCUUUUCUUUUUUUCCAUUGGCACAAUUGUCCCAUUAAUUAAUGUUACUCACGUCAUGAUUUUUUUAUUUUUUUUUUUGUGUUGGUGCAUCAGUAACAUGAUCUCUUCCACAAUGGUUUCUCUGAUUUAUAUCUGAUUCAGCACUACAGGUUUUAAAGCUUGGGCAUUGGAUGGAUGAUGCUUAGCUAAAAAAGCUUUCCACCUUAAAAGCAAAUUAGUAAAACUAUACUAGAAUGAAAAUACACUUCACAUCACUGGCACCAAUUUCAUCAACUAGUAGCCUGUUAUUUCUUUUUUUCCACCAAAAAUAUGUUUGAAUCAGAAAAUUUUCUCACUCAGGAUUUCAGUUGCCCUUCUUGGCUUCUGUGUUCAGGCCAUAUCCAAAUGGGUACAACGGGUCAUAAUGUCUGUCCCCGACGUUCAUGGGCAGUUGAUCAACCGUCUUGAACCAUGUAUGAGGAAGCUUGCCCGUGAAACCAUAGUCACCAAAUAAAACAUCAGCAACCCCUUGGCCCUCAGUUCCUGGAAGCCAAGCAGCUACAAGUGCAUCAAUUCGAUUCACGUAUGGCUGAAUGACGACAGGCCGGCCGGUGAUCAGAACUACAACGCAUCUCACAGACCCACAAACGUUAGUAAUGGUACUAGGGCCUGGUUCAGGAAUCGUCAAGUUUAAGCUGUCCCCGACUGUUUCAGCAUAUGGUGGCUCUCCCACCACAACAACCGCAUAGGAGAACUUGUUGGACUUGACGAAUUCUGCAUCAGGUUUUUCGCUGUACACAACUUCUGUUGUUGGAUCAACUGCAUUUCUUAUACCAGUCAGGAUUGUGGUACCUGUUUACCAGAAAAGAAUAAGUUGGAGUCAGUUACCAGUACGAAUAAAUGCCAUCACUGCUACUGCUAUCAGCUAAAAUGAUAACCAAAGAACCUUUUGUGAUGUUGCCGCUGAGGCCUUGCCACUCAAUUGUCCACCCACCACAUUGGUUACCAAUAUUAUCAGCGUGGGUUCCUGCAACUAGAAUGCGUUUCGCUUUCUUGGGGAGGGGUAGCAAUGGCUUGGCUGCGGAUUCGCCAUUCUUCAACAGCACAAGAGAUUUCCUCACUGCUUCUCUUGCCAGGUCUCUGUGCUCCUGUUAACGUUAAAAAAGUGUUUAAACUUGGGGCCAAGUGAUCUCAACUUCUCUUUCAUCUUUUCUAUUCAAUCCGCUCUUUGUAAAUCGACACCCACUUACCUGCAACCCAACGUAUUUGGUCAUGCUAUAGUCGGCCAAUGGGUGCUCAAAGAUGCCCAUCGUGAACUUCACCCUCAAAAUCCUCUUCACUGCAUCAUCAAUUCGGCUCAUUGGAACAAAAUUGUUCUUAACCAGGAAGGUUAGACCAUCAAUGAAUUCUGUAUAGUUGUAUGGAAUCAUCAUCUGCAAUAUCCGGAAAAUAACACAAGUCCUUCAGCAUUUAGCAGAGUAGAUUAAUAUUAUAAGCUUGUUAAGCAAAUCAGACUGACCAUGUCAAUUCCGGCGUUGACACCAGCGACAAUUGAGUACGUGUAAUUUGCAUGAGGAGGAGAGGUAAUCCUGUCAAUGCCUUGCCAAUCUGAGAUGACAAAUCCCUGAAUAAUAAUUCAGAACUUAAUUAAUCCUGUGCUUGAUUGAAGAUGUCGAAUGAGGAACUGGAAGCAGGAAGGAGUACUUUUUACUUUCGAAACUGAUUAGUUUACCCGAAAUCUGAGUGUGUUCUUAAGAAAACCAGUGAUCAUUUCACGAUUAGCAUGCAUCUUUAUUCCAUUCCAGCUUGAAUAGGAGAUCAUGACAGUCGAUACACCCUUGAUAAUUGCAUUAUAAUAGCCGGUCAUAUGGAUGCUAAGCAAACCAUGCCUGCUGAUCACUGUAUUAUUCUCAUUGAUGCCUUCAGUCGUUCCUCCAUCACCAACAAAGUGCUUAGCACAUGCAGCAAUGUUCUUUCUGCCAAAAAAAAGAUUAAUCAAGAAUGCAAACUCCGAAGGUACAGGGUAUACAAUUUCUGGGAAUUUAUUAUCUAUUCCUAGAAUAAUAUUUUAAAAAUUAUACAGAUUUUAGGUCGAAAGGAGUAAUUUUCAUGUAUCUUCUAAUUGAUACCGGGUAGAGCUAAACAACCUCCCAAGUCCAAGUUUUGAAGCUUUGAACGGUCAAUUGCACUUUCUAACCUUUUUGUAGGCGUAUGGUUAGAUAUCUUAUUUACUAGUAGACGUUCUUUGUUACCCCUGUUUUAAAGUUCAAUCUGGUCCACAUCAGUUCUUGACGAAAAAAGCAAAAGCUAACAUCCAACUGAUGUUGCUUUCCCAUGAAUGCUAGCGUGCAAUCUUCCAUCAAUAUAUCUCUUUCAUCCCCUUGGAACAAGAAGAUUUUAGCACCCAAAACUUGAAUUUUAAGGAUGGCAAAUGUUGACUUUGGAUUCUUGAAAAGGGCAACACGACUUGAAUAGCUUGAAUAAGACGAAGGAUAUUUCCAAUUAUCCACAAAAGGGCAGCUAAUUGAAGUUUAUGAUAUAUUACUAGUACUUUUCACACUGGAUCCAGGAUUUAUAUGUGCUUCAGAAAGAAAGACAUCGUUGUUCAUUACUUUAUGAAUGAAUCAAGAAAAUGCUGGAAUAAGAGGAAUUUGCAAUACGUACUGGCCAGCAAGAUAAGGAACCCCUAAGCGGCCAUUGGAAGGGAUUUCUCCUUGUAAUCCCGGGAUAAUCUCAGUCAUUGCUCUCACAAUUUUGGGAUCUUCACUGUAGCUUUCAUAACACCGGCCCCAUCUGGGAUCUCUGCAGACCUAAUCACAGAUCGGAAAGGGCACUUAUUUUGAUUGUUUCAAUGUACUCUGAGCUGCAUAACAAUUAAUGGAUCACAGAAGGAGUUAAAUUACCGCAAUGCAAGGUGCAAAAGCAUAUUGAAUGCCUGUAGCUCUCACUUCAAGGGCAGUUGCAGCUCCAAUCUUCUUCACUAGUGCAGGGUCCCUGCUCAAGCCGGAAACUCAGAGAGUUUAAUUGCCACAUUCAAUUAAAGAUUCAAUAUUGAAAAGAUAGAUAUCAAAUUAUGCCAAAAAGAGCCGUAUUCCUGCUAAAUCCCUCCCCGUCCUUCCCCCCUAGACAAGAACUUCAUCUGCAGCUUUUUCAUAAAACAACAAACAAAAUAGUGGACUUCAGCUACUACAAUACAAGAGUGCGUUUUGGAGUACUGACCAAAUUAUAAGCAAAUAACUCACGUCAAAUAAUUGUAAUGCGAACUACUAGCCUCCUAAAUAGUGGUCGUAAUCAAAGGAGAUGUGGAUUAAUCUAGAAACUUAAUCACAGCCAAAUGGUCGUAAUCAAAUGAGAUGGGGAGGUUGUUAGAAUAGCUGGAAAGAUCCAUAUACCGAUAAUCUACCACGUACAAACUUACCUGGUGGCCCCAAGACCAAUAUUAUGAGGAAAAACGGUAGCCUUGUAGACGGUGUUGUGGCCAUGAACAGCGUCAAUCCCAUAAAUCAUUGGUAUCCCAAGACGCGUAGACAAUGAACCCUUUUGGAAAUCGUUUACCAUGUCCACCCAUGUCUCCGGCGAAGCCUGCUUAGCUGGAACACUCCCUCCGCCGCUCAGUACACUCCCUGCAAAUAACUAACAUUUUAAUCCCAAAGAAAAAGAAAAACGACAACACAUAACGAGCUCUUCUAAUUAACUGUGACUAGUAGAUAACAGAAUCUAAUCGCAAAAAUCAGUUUUUUCAAACUGCAGAUUAUUGAUGCAUACCGAUGUAGUACUUUUUCAUGAUCUCUCCGGAGGCGACACUACGAUCUAUCUGUACCAUUUGGCCAAUUUUCUCCUCUAAGGUCAUCCUGCUCAAUAAAUCCUUAAUUCUAGUAUUUAUGGGCUGUUUGGGAUCCUUAUAAGGUAAGUACUCUGCUUCUGCUUUCAUGGCUGCACAGAAGCAGAACAAUGCGAUCCCAAAAGCCAGUAAGGAACCUUUCGCCAUUUUGAGCCUCAGCAUCACCUUCAACAGACAAAAGAGUACAGAAAAUUCUAUUAGAUUCCAAGCAUCCCAUCAAUAAAUCUCACUGAUGUAAACCGUGGCUUUGGAAAACGUUUAGAUAACUGAAGUACAAGGAAGCAGCAUUUUCCCAAUUUUUGCUGUUUUAAAUCUGGAGAUAAACUAUUCAAGUAUUUGGAAGAGCAACUAUUGGACAGGAGAAUAUCUUGGACAGUGGACACACGAAACAUGAAACGUGAACAUGUAUGUCCGUGCGUUUGUUUGACGAAAUGGACUUGUUAAAAAAGCGAGGACGAGUAAAAAUGGAAAUCCUGGGAAAGUAUAAAAAAAUUAUCCAUGUAACACUAUGAUAGUUAGGAAAAUCAAGAAACACUUUUUUGGAUAAACUAUCAAGAAUCUGGAAAAAGGAACCAAGAAGUCCCUCAAAAAAAAAUGGAACCAAAAGUUUUAUCUGAACGUAUGAGAUGCCCAGGAAAACAGUCCAAUGCUGUUAUAGAAUCAGAGCCUACUGUCACCGAUAGCCACUGAGUGGUGGUCUAUGGCUGCCGAUUCAAGGAAGGGAUGGAACUUACAGAGGAUGCAGCCAAAAUUGGACCCCAGCACACCAACCACGAAUAUGCUUUUAGUAGUACAGUAGUGUUUCUUUGUCGCUGGUACGUAGAGAGAGAGAGAGAGAUAUACUAUACAGCUGCAGAUGAAAUGGGAUGUAGAGGGAUGCCAUUUAUAGAAAAACGUUCUGUCAUUUGAUUGGCUUGGUUACCCAUUGAUGCGGAGAUGCCCUCCAUAUUGUGCUGUAAAAGUCUGAUAGUAAGUUUGAUGCUAGGGUACUGAAAUGCUGGUCCACGUACACUGCAGCCCCAAGUGAAGACAGUAAUGGAACUUUGACGUAUUUGUGAGGUAGGGGAUUCAAACUAGUAACAAAUUAAUGUAAAAUUAAUUCAAAACGUAUCUCAUAUUUUAUUAAAUAAAUUUUUUUUAAUUUUAAAAUAUUAAUUUUACAUUUUUUAUCAAUUUAAAUUAAUAAAAUUUAGUUUCAACCCAAAUUUUUAAUUAUCUUUUAGUCUAAAUUCAUCACGUAAUCCACAUAUAGUUAUUUUUAUAUACAAAAAUGUUAGAUCCCACUUUCUUUGUAGCAAAAAAAUAUAGAUUAGCUCAUAUCUCAUUUUUUUGAAAAAAUAUAAAAAUGAUUCAAGUCAAAUCCUAUUUUUUUUGAAGCAAAAGUGAAUAUGGAUUAGGCUAUUUGUUUAAUUACAAAUGAGAUAUAACCUUUUUGCCCCUUAAAAAAUGACUAUAUGUGAAUCAUGUGAUGAAUUCAAGAUGAAAAAUGGUUGAAAACUUAGAUUUGAAUCAAAUUUUAUCGAUUUGAUUUUAUAAAGAUGUAAAAUUAAUAUUUUUAAAGUGAAUGAUUAAAAAUUUUAUUUGACAAAAUGUGAGAGACAAUUUAAAUAAAUUUUCCAUAACUGAUUUACUUCUCUUAGUAACCGCUCUGUCUUGUACUGUUUCUUUUUUUUUUAUAUACAUUUAUUUAGCUGAUUUCUUUGGGCAUUUGAACAAUGACAAAGAGUGACACUUACGGGUUUUUUUUCCUUGGGAAAUUUGGUCGAACACUCAACACAUGAAUACAAAUCAAGCUAACAACUUCUAGAUUUUGAUUUACAUAAAAAUCGAACUUAAAUAAUGCACAUAUAUUGUAAUUUUUUGUCAAAAAAUAUUUAUUUAUAUCACAAACACAUUUUUCAGCACAUUUUUUAUUUUUCUAAUUAUUUUUUUAUCUCACAUACAUCACAGUAUAAAAAGUAUUAUGGUAAUUAUUAUAAAUAAUAUUUCAAAUAAUUUCCUAUCCAAACACACCCAAAACUAUUUGCUCUUUUGUUUUCUGUUUCAUCAAUCAUAUGUCUGGCGGGAAAACACUCUAAAAUUCUCUCAGAUCUAUUUAUUAUUGCAAUAAAUACCAAAAUCCAAUAUCCCAGAUUAUAUUCCUAAUAUCAAUUUGGAUUCUUCACUUUGGGCCGAAUAAAAUUUUGUCAACGGCCUAAGUAGUACUCAUUUAGUUUUCUUUUUUAUUUUCUCGGAGACAAAAAGAGUCCGCCCAAAAAAAAAAGAAGAAGAAAAUAAAAAUAUAGUGGUAUGAAUCAACUAAUGUCGGUGGCAUUUUCUUUCGCACUUUUUUUGUUUUGUUUUUUUCCAGAGUAGAGACUACGAAUAAACUCAAAAUGACGACCCCCGCAGCGCUUAAGGUCAAAUUCGUACUAGUAUAUUUGUCCAGUCCCAUUCCUCCCCCUUAAACAAUUCCAGGAAGCUUUUUAGUAUUUAUCUUCUUACGCUUAACGCGUUGGACCGGAUAAAGUAUGAUUGGUCGCUGCCUCGCUGGUCAGCGGUCGUCACUGUUUCGGUUUUUUAAUUUCAAUUUUUUUGAUAAACAGAAAAGCUUCUCCUUUGGAAAUUGGAACAUUUCUAUGGAGUUUGCCUUCAUCCCCAUUAUAAUCUUUCCAUUGCGUAAAGUGGACGGCAUUUCAUCUGGAUCUCUGGCCCCGUCUCUUGGUCCAGUUUCACGAUGGACAACAUCAUAAUGUUGUUGAUGAAAAUAUAAAUACAUCAAUCAAUGAAUACCAUUUUCUUUUUCUGAUUUUGUUUUCUCUUUCUCUCUUGUCCGGUCAAAAUUAUUUUCUAUUUUUUUACUCAUAUCAAGGACAUGAGUGACUUAGUACUAUUCGGAUAGCCAUUAGUUGGCUCCAAAUUAUUUACUUUUUAAUAUAUUUUUUUAUUUUUUAAUCAUUUUUUUUAUAUCACAUACAUCACAUCACAAAAAGUGUUAUAGUAAUUAUUUAAAAUAAUCUCUUAUCCAAACACGUAUUUUCUGAAAUUAUGAGUAUGUUUGGAUGACAUGUUUAUUAGGUGUUUAUCUACAAUUUUAUUAUAUUUAUUUUUUAAAAAAUACUGAUAUAUGUCCAAAACACUAUUUUUUUUUCCAAAUAUCCCCCUUUUUACCUCGCGUGCUACUCGCCAUCCACCACUGCUACCGCCCUCCGCCGUCAUUACCAUAUUUAGCUCUUUUUUUUUUUCAUUUUAUUAGACCUUGUGGGUAUUUUUGUGUAUUACUAUAGAUGCUGUUUUUUAAAAUUUUAUUUCCUAAAAAGUUACCGAAUAGACCCUAUGUUUAAUUUUAUAUGUAAUCCUAUUGGUGGUUCCCAAUUCGCUUGAGAACAAUUAAACUUAAAAUUUUAUUUGAAUAUGUUUGACAUUGAUCAAUGGACACUCUUUGAGAGGAGUCUUAUAUGGUAUUUGUUUGGAUCAGUGUACUUGACUUGAAUAAGUUUUAUAUACAAGUGAGUUUGAUCCACUUUCAUGAGAAUGAUCGUGUUUCCAAAAUUCAAUGUUGAUGUAAGAACUGUGUUGGUAAACACUCUGUAAACAAGUUAUAGUUUUAAGGAUAUACUCUGAUAUGUGAUGGUAAUUGGAAUCGAAUCCAUCAAUUUUAUUUUAACAUUUUACUACCAAACAAUAUUAUGACUUUGUUUUCUUUACCCAAAAAAUAUAUAUAUAUUUAAAAAAAAAAAAGACGACAAAGAGACAGAGAGACGGGGAAAAGACUGAACUGAAGAGAGUAGCCACUGAAAAAUCGAGCAGCCACUGAAAAACUAUACCAAAUUUUCGAUGAUACCAUUCAUGUGAGUAAGAAACAUCGAUAAUGGUUGGGUAAAUUACCGAUCACGAUGCUUAUCCACUUGUUCCUCUUACCUCUGGAGUUAUAAGUUAUGACCAAAUCAAUAUGUAAUCAAAACCUUGUCCCUUGUUUUACUUGAGUUGUCUUCUUUCGGCGGCAGAAAUUUUUACUUUUCUCGGUAUAACCCACAAGCCAGUUGGGCAGAUUGUUUUUGGACUUCAGAGAACCAGAGUGCACGUGUUGUCAUUAAUUACGAGAAUAAAAUUUUUGCUAUAAAUCAUAUUAAUCAAGACAUAUCAAUUUUUAAAUAUUUUCGCAACAUUAUUAAUAAGUUUCGAAAUGUCAGGAGCCUUAUUUAACAAUUAAUUUAGAAGAAAGAUGAAUGUCCAUUUUGAAAAAGACACUCGCCUAAGUAGUGUAUAGUAACAGUUAAUAGCUGUGGCUGAAAGAUAUAUUAUAAUUGUUUAAAAUAAAUACAACAAAAUUGAAAAGUUGAUUAGAAAUAUGAUACACAGAGAAUAUGAGUCUAUGCAUGAUUAAUAGCAAAGUAUGUGAGCUCCAGUUAGAAAGGCUCUUUCUUCUUCAAAAAAAAAAAGACGCAACAAACCAGACGCAACAAAAUUGCCACCGUGCCCGUGAAUCCGUUUCACCAUCAUGCUUAUUCGUUUUUGUAUCUUUUCUUACGUCGCAUUAACUACGAUCAACUUAAAACUCAACGGCUAAAACUUCCCAUGUGACGCUGUAUAUCUUACCACAUCAUAAUUCAUUUGCAUUAUUGUCGAAACAAUGCAAAAGCGGACCAAUUAAUCCGAGUUUUUGGUCAUAAGAUCUUCCUGCUGAGGGACUAAUCAAUUGAGUCACCACACUCCUCUUUGCGUCUAAUUUAGAUAUACCAGAAGAGCAAACAAUUCUCUCAUUAUAAUAUAAUAUUCGUCAUUUUUAUUAGAUAUGGUGUAUUUGUGACAUGUCUGGCGCGGCAACCAAACCAUCGCCCCAAAAUCAGGGACACUUUUUUUUUUUAAGGACAUCAUAACUAGUGUUGCAAACGAAUCGAGUUGAAUCGAAUUUUGGUCUAAUCAAAUCGAAUUUCGACUUAGUGAUGAACUCGUAGUUGGACAUAGAUAGAAGAAGAUAAACAACAAUUCAUAUUCUGAAAUUGGCUUGCACAGUAGUCAAAUACUGCAGUAUUUUUGGUUAGCGUUAUCUUUAGUUUAAUUUCACAAGCAAUACUACGCAGACGGCAAAUUAAGUCUGGAACGUUUUUUUUUUAUAUAUAUAUGGUUCAGCCGGAUGGUAACAUUUGGAGCUAGCUUGUGUAUACCUCGCUUUUGCAAACUAAUAAUUGAAUGAAGUUUGUUUGACAAAAAAAAUCCCCUAUAAUAAUUAGUAACUUACAUGGGUACGGCAGAAGGCUUUCCUAGAAUCACGACCCCUUUUUUUUUUUUUUUUUUUUUAAUCGACACAGGGGUGUUCGGGUCAAUUCUUACGGGAUCCGACUAGGGCUGCAAACGAGCCGAGUCGAGUCGAGAUUUGAGCUAAUCGAGCCGAGCCUUGGCUAAAUUUUAUCAAACUCGAGCUCGAGCUCGACGAGCUGGCAAUUUUCGAGCUCGAGCUCGACUCGAAUCAAGUUGAGCCGAGGAGCUCGAGCUCGAGCUCGAAAAAAAUAAAAAAAAUUAUUUUAUUUAAAAAUAAAUAAAUAAAAUAAUAUUUUUUUCUGAAUAAAUAAUAAAAUAUUAAGGAUAUAUCAGUAAUUUCACUAUGAAAAUAAAAAAUAAAAAAUAUAUAUAAUAUAAGUAAUUUUAUUAUUAAAUAAAAAUAAAAAAAAAAAUAUAUAUAUAUACUCAAGCUCGCGAGCCGGCUCGCGAGCUAACGAGCUUAAUAUUUUGAGCUCGAGCUUGACUCGAGCCGCUCGCGAGCGGCUCGAUUCGUUUGCAGCCCUAGAUCCGACUAAUCCUCUGCGAUCCAGGCCCGACGCCCCAAUCCGACCCUAGCACGUUAAGUGCGCGAAGAAAUCCAACAGAGCGGAGGCUCGAACUCAUGAUCUCUCGGUCCUUGUGAGAGCUAGCUUUCGCUGGACCAUUCACGCGGCGGCUAGAAUCACGCCCCUAUCUAUGGAAAAUCUCGUUGGAAUGUAGUGGAAAAUUAUUUAAAUAGACAUUAGUACUGUGCUCUGAAGGAAAAAAAAAUCAGAAAAGACAGGAGAAUUUAUUACUACUUGAACAAAUGGAAUCGACACGUUAGAGACACAUGACUCAAAACCAAUCUUGGAGUAGAUGUCGGCAGUUCAGAAAAUGGAAUUGUUUGUUGGAAGCUUCAAUAUCUUUAAUGGUGUCUUUUUUUUUUUUUUUGAAACGAUAAGAAUUUUUAUUGAUGAGUCAAAAUUCAGAGCAACAGUUCAAAAUAUACAUAAGUAUAUCAUCAGUGUAUCAUGACAUUUAAGAAAAGAUAUAAAUUUUCUCCUCAUCUAUUAGCAUGUUCACUAAUACUUAUGCAUAAAUUCUCCUCAUCUAUUAGCAUCCCUUGAUACUCACCAGGUGCAUCAUUUUCUUUAUAUCCUUUUACUGCAUUUUAUUUUUAUUUUUUCGAAAACUCAAACUUUGUAUUUCGUGCGUUGACUUCUUCCCUACAACUACUAUAUAUAGACUCUUUCCAACGGUCGAUUUUUUUCUUCUUAUAAACAAUUCAAGGCAUUUAAAGGAAGAAAAUAACGAGUGCGAUGAGAUAAUUAUUAUUAACCAAAAAGCUCUAGACAGCCGAUCCAGCAAAAUGGCAUCUCCGCCUAGCACGGCAAACUUUUAAUCUCAGAUAAUCAGCGAACAGUCCUGCAAUUAAUUGAGAUCACGAGGGAACGGUACUUUUCUUGUCUGAUGACAGCCCAGACUAGCAGUCAACACAGAAUAUUUCUGAACUUCACAUCACUCGUUCAACAACAAAACGGAUUAGUAAAAUAAAUAUUCCAUAUGGGGCGCCGCCGGCGAUUUCUAACUUUUUUUUUGGAAAAUUUGUUUUGGGCGGGGGAAGGAGAGUUGCGAAAUCUCAGCUACAAGCUACUGAAGACGAUCGAGUGAAUGCGAACAAUAAUAAUAAUAAUAAUUUUUUCUUUUACAUAUAUAUAUUUUUUCUUAAUUAAAAAAAAUUAACACCUAAUAACCGACAUCUUAACGAGUGCCAACACGAACACUAAUUAAAUUAGUCCAAUAGUAAGCAUCCCUUUGGUCGCAAGCCGCAGAUUCAUCAUUCUGAAAACGGUCCGGAUAAGCUAAUGUUAAUUAGCAUUAGCGGUAAAAUUGGGUUGUAGUUUUAUAAUCUGCAACGGAGACUUGCGGCAAUUGCGAAUAGGGGUGGAGCUGAUUCAAGCUACUCGACUCGAGCUCGAUAUGUACUCGAUCAGAAGCUCGAGUUCGAACUCGCUUCAUUGAGCUCGAACUCGAUCUCGAGCUGCUCGUUAGGGCUAUCGAGUCGAGCUCGAGUUCAGAAAUUUGAUACUCAAGAUCUCGACGAGCUCUAUUGAGUAUCACAUAAAAAAUUAAAAAAAAAAAAUAUAUAUAUAUAUAUAAUUACUAAUAUAGGUAAAUGAAUUUUGAGAAAUUACCGGUGAGUACCCUUAUCGAGUCGAGCUCAAGCUUUUUAAGAACUCGAUCGAACUUGAUCGAGCUCAAACUCGACCUCGAGUAUAAUUAUAUUAUAGCCUAGUCGAGCUCGAGUACAGUACAGCGGUACUCGAGCCCGACUCGGCUCGAAUACACCCUAAUUGCGAAAAAGUGAAGGUUCAGAAAUGGACAUUUCAAUCAAUCUUUGGCUACUUGUAAAACAGGUGUGGAAGUGCCGUUAUAUGAAGUCCAACCACGACCGAGUAAAAACAAUAUUAUUCAUUCAUAUGGCCUGACUUGUUAAUUGUCUUGUAGGCCCGGCCCACAGGAGCAGCCUUAAUUUGGUUUUGUUCUUCACAUUCGGGGAAUUCGACCCGGCUAAGCGUUCCACACAACCAGUGGAUAGAAUCGUGCAGCCCUUGAGUAUGAUUCUAUGAUAUGAUAUGAUAUCAAGUCGUUGUUACUCUAUUAUUCUUUGCAUGAUAAUAUAUAUAUAUAUAUAUAUGUUCGAAAACAAAGUAGACGGAAUCAAACAAACAAUCUGCAUAUUUUGAUACUUGAAAACUCAUCAAUAUGUGAAGCGGUGGUAACCGGACAAACAAGGAAACAAUUUGUCCAUUUUUGCUUUGUUGUAAGAUAACAAAAUGCUCAUAUGAGUAAACAAUUGACCUUACUCCAAAACAAAAUUUUGGUUUUAAUUUUUGUCACGUAACUUGCCCCCCCCCCCCCCCCCCCACGAAACUUUUGGAUAUAGAGUAGGAGUCCGCCGUCCUUUCACAUGAAGGAUAAGUCCGUUGGGCCUAACGUCAAAAUUCAAAGCUUGUCCCGCAGACAUUCGGCUCCAUCUGCUCUGCUCUAAGGGGUACCUUACAUUUCUGCUGUAAUGGACAGGAUACUUGUGUGAUUUUUUUUUUUGUUGCGCACUGGAUAAACCUCAUUCCGUGUAAUAGACAGAUGUUUCAGAGAGAUUCGAAUCCGAAUUGCUAGGAAGACAUAAUAUCAACUCUACCAUCUCAGCCAACUCAAGGGACUAUUGUGUGAUUGUUAUUUCGUAUGCAGUUCCAAAUAAGCCGGACUCCUUGGGAGUAAUGUAUACAGUGAGGAGCUGCAGUUGAUCUCUUUCGGAAUAAAUAUCACGUGCGCUACUGCUGCUGAAAGUAAUCGAUUGGCAUACCCUGGAGCGCGUUUUCCUCUAUCCCACAUCGAUUGUGAGUGGUGCGUGUGUACUACUUAAGAUUCUCAGUGUAACCUGAAAGUCAGCGUCCCUUUUGGGUUGAGUUGUGGGUUUCCCUUAGAUAGUGUGUGUGAUAUUUACGGUUGUUGGUGGAGCGCAUUUCUUGUAUAUAUAUAUAUAUAUAUAUAUAUAUAUUUAUGGGUUACAAAGGAUAGGAGUGGACAGACCCAACAAAAUGGGGGAUAGCCGCCCCUCCUCCUACAUCUUCGCCACCUAACCACUCCUUGGACAAGAAGCAGCUUAUUGCAAUUCAGCUGGAUGCAAUUAUUAUACGCCUUUACACUGGUGAUGGCGGAAGCUGAAAUCAGAAUAGACUUAGUGCUGGCAUUCAAAUUCUUAAUUUAAUGUAAACCUCCUCUACCAUAAUUCAACUACUAUCAUAUCCAUAAUCCAAGCCGUUCAGAAUAAGCAUGGCCCAUUAACAUGCCAUUUGCCCAAAUUAACCAGGUUUUAACAAUAAAUAUUAUUAAGCUACAGCAUGCGAUCAGAGAGCGAAGGCAGCCUUCUGAAGAAGUUCAAAGCUGGGGAAGGCAUUCUGUCCCUGAAUAUGGGAUGCCGCAGGUAAUAAAACCCGAAGGCCAUCGCUAUCAUUUUUGAUGGCACCAAACACAGUAUGAACGACACCCCGAAGCACAGCCCGAUGAAGAUCCCCGUGGCACGUGGGUCCCGCCACGCCACCAGAGCCUGCAGUCGCUCCCCUUGCGUGGCAAAAUCACCCAGUACCGUCUGGACACGUGCCCCCAGCAUCCGCAGCUUGUCGUACCUGGCCCGCACCACCUCAUUCGCCCUCGCGCACGGCAUCGCAUCGAACUCCUCGUCCACUUCGUCGCGAUCGAUGGACUCCGCCAGCGAGAGCUUUGGAUCAAAAUGGGGGAGCGAAUCGCGCGGUCGAACUCUAUAGUUCCAUGCACCCACCACGAAAACGUAGAAUGCAAAUGUUGGGACGAUCAAGUCCGGAAACCACACCAGCAUCACCAGCAACGCAUGUACGAGAAUGGUGGCCGUCGGAUUCUUCCAGGAACGCGUGUCGUCCAGCCAUUUCACCACGUCAGUCACUCCCGCAAUCACGUUGAUGAUCCUAAACCAAUUUGCGCGCACCUUUCGCAUGCUGAAUGCAUGUGAGUCUGCAUCCAGCAUGUAGGUCACCACUUCUCGGCGAAGCGGUGGCUCCGACCGGGAUAAGUGUGCAGCCACCAUCUUCACCGCCGUCGUCCUCAGCACCUCCUGCUGGACCAUGCCGAGUGGCUUCGUGUGGUGCAUCAUCGGCAACAAUGGCUGAGAGUACACGUGUAAGAAAUCCAGCGUGGGCGUUGCACGUGCAAACCUAACCGCCAAUUCAAUCUCGCCCAUCUUCUUCAGGCCCGAAUUAUUAGACAACAGAAACAGAGGAAAUGUGUUCCUGUACACCUUGCCCGUGCCCAAGGUAGAUAUACGAAUGCGAACUUUCCCUAUACGAAAAUCCGGCCGCAUCGACUCUUUGGAGCCAUCGGAUUCUAGUACUUCCCAGCUGUCAAAUACUCCGAUUGUCAACACAGUUGACGGAUCAUAGACUCUCCAUGUAUACUGCUCAUUCCACUUGGGGUCCAGACUAUCAGAUAUGGUACGUGUCCGCACCCAUUUGCUGCCAUAUUUCGCCACCGCAUAGGCAUCUGUAGACCCCUUGCCCUUGAUCGUCUUCAUAGGGAGUAGAUUUCUGCACCCAAUGACUCCUAAUUCAACAGUUCCAAUAGGGGGCUUCCAAAGCUGCCUGGCGGUUGGACGGUAGUCACUGCACACGUGAGCGGCUUCGUCCAUCACGUGAUACCCACCAUCAAAACACAGCUUCAAGUGGACUCUGCCUUUGUACGCCCUUUUUGCUUCUUUCGGGUCUUCAAGUGUGAGCCAUCUGGAAACCACGUUGCGAUCAUCAACGCGUCGCUCUAUGGACGCGAGCGGUAUGCUAGCGACACCUAGCAUGACUUGUUCCUUAGGUUGCCGGUUUUCUAUCAGGGAAAACAUCAGAGGGUGCUCCGUGAACGGUUCAGCUGCUACAAAUACCAAAUCUUCGUUCCAUGACGGAGAUCCGUUACUGGAGACAGAUGAUUUCGUUUUCUGGACUUGAAACCCCAGUUGGACUUUAACUUGAAAUGAUGACUCUUUUGACGACAUUAACGGAAAAAUGUCUUGUGCUUCUAUGAUUGUUGACCUCAAAUACCACAGCUUGGGGGACUGGUAGACUUUUGACUUGGAAUUAGGAUUACCUGCGGUGUCGGUCUUCCACGCCUCAGGAAACGACUCGUCAGCUUGUGUUCCAACCCACGUGGCAAGCAUGAGGUCCCCCUUGUGGGCUCCGCCUCCUUCCAACCUGUACCACUGUGGGGCUAACGGACUGUCGGGUGGGUCCCGCAGUGGGAUCUCACUCACGUCAAAGCAAAUCCCACCUAGGAAGUUAUGCCCCGCCACGUCAGCCGAGCCGCCUCCUGACAUGGCGUGUAUUGGGUCCCACACAGAGAUCUCCAGGAUGGAGGAACAAUCUGGUGCGUCCCGACUGAAAGCAAAUGUCUGGUCCCACUCGAACAAAGUGGUUUUCCGGGCUGGUUUUGAGAUGAUAUGGCAGCCGGAAACAACAAUCUUCACGACCGGCCUUCCCAUGGUCGGAAGAGAUCUAGCUUUGACUACUCUGACGAAGAGAUAAUGCAUUUUCUCUACAAGAUCAAACGAGGACCGUUCGAUUGUAGAUCUAUCAGAUGCAUCAGACAAGAAACUACUGACUGAUGAAACACGGCUGAUUGGUUGAGGACCGUUGAUAUUGUUUAUUUUGACUUCAGCCAUGGAUCCUGAGGCUACCGAUGCCAUCAUGUGAUCAAGGCCAUUAUCAAGUUGUACUGUUUGCUGAGGACUCAGGUCCACAGGAUCCGUCCCUUCUUGGGCGGGUAAAUGAUCAGGGGCCACGUCUUGCUUUUCGUGGUCAGCAACAUCCGAACUCACACUAGCAGUUUCCGGUGGUGGUGCGGCUUCGGCAGGUGGCACUGGAGGCUGUUCUGUAGCGGGCUUUUCACCGCCAGAUGCUGGCUCCUUAGGUUGCUCUGGGUUAGUCUCAGAUGCCGCAUCGGGCUUUUCACACACCGGUUCAGUUGCCUCAGGGGGAGGUGGUGGUGAAUCAGAAGGAGGUGCAGCUGCUGCCUCGGGUGAAGCUUCUUCUGCGGCGGCCGGUGUUUGUGAAGUUUGCUCGGGCUUGGCCUCCUCCGGUGGUGGAGUUGGUAAGGCUGGUGGUCCAGGUGGGGGUAUAACUUCAUCGGCAAAAUAAAUCUUCAGCCCAAUCUCACCUUGAAUCCAACUAAACAAAGUCUUCUUCUCCAGCGGAUAAUAAAUCAACGCCUCCUCACCUUUCCUGACGAACUGCCUUGAGCUUAACUUUAAUCUACCCAAGAAAUGAUUCCUGGUGGUAGGUCCGACUUUUCGAUCGUGAUACAUCUCCAGUUCAAGCAUGUCACCUAAAACAUCGGAUGGUUUGCCAACGUUGAACUCGAGAGUUUCGUUCCAUGCUGGAUUCAAGUCCCGGAUCACUGUCCUUGUCUUCUUUCUCUGACCAUAAAAAUCAAGAAUCACGUAAGGACUGCACGUCCCGUGACCGUCUUUUGGUGGAAGGUUACGUGCAUCGACCACCUCAACAAUGAGUUUCCUUACCGUGCCCAUCGCGGAAAAAGAAGGGAGAACGAAGAUGAAUGAGUUUACUGGUUUAAAUUAGCUGUCUGCUAGGUUGCCAGCAACGAGGAAUGCUAGUUACAAUAAUUGUUGCUUCUUGAUGGGUUUUCUUUAACUUUUGGGAUUGGAGAGAAUUAAGGAGAUGGGUGAGAGAAAAGGGACACUUGUGUUCAUACUGGAUGUACUUGAUGGAAAAGAUGGCGAAUUUGGGAGACUGAGAGAAGCACACUGUAGCAGUGGAAGUCUUAGCUGGACAUCUCGAGGAGGAAAAAGUUCAUUAGAUUGAGGAAAUCGGAUGGGAAAACAUGCUUAACUUCAUGUGCAAGCGGCUGCAGCAUUAGCCACUUUGCCCAGCAUAUCCCUACGGUCAAAUUCUUCUCUUGCUUCCUUAAUUUAACGAGUUUUCUUUUCCUCAGGAUUCCCCAGGAUUUUGCUUUUACAUGUCCCGCCGUGUUUAUAAGUGAGUGGUAUAAAGUAAUUAACUUACCAAAACAAAUUGAUGUGGCCAUCCACGAUUCAGGCAGGGUUCACUUUUGCCUUCUGUUUUCUUUUGGUUCGGUUGGGCAGGAUUGGGAUAUAUUGCAUUUGCAGAAGAUUCUUUGGCUAGCUCCCUUUUUCCGUCAGAGAGUCACAAUUAGCCCACACACCUCGGGAUGGCAAAGAGAUUGAAAGGUGGAUGGGGAAUUUUGUUGGCCGCCUUACUGAUGACUCAGGAUGAGUGAUUGGUUCGCUUUUUGACAAAGAGGAGUGCCCUUUUUGGUGGUUUGUUAUCAUCGCCGACCAUGCUUUGGCCGGCCAAGCGCUUUCCACACUUUUGCCCAUAGCCUGGAGAUGUAUCAUUUUAUUUGAUAAAAUAAAUCAAUCCACUGAUGAAUCCCCGCUUUCUUUCAUUUCUGUGAGAAUCAUUUCUUGUUUCUUUUCCCUUUUUAUGUCAAGUAGGAGCUCUGGAUCGUUGCGCUACAUUCUGGUAAAGAUUGGUAUAGCAAGUUCAACACCAAACUAUAAAGAGCAUGAAGGGCAAAAAAUACGCUCAAGCAUAUUUGCAGGUCACAUCCAAGCGGACUACUAACGUGCAUGCAUGGUAAAGCAAAUUGAAAAGAGCAAUCAAUUAAAUGACCCCAAAAUCAAUAUAUCUUUAGGAGAACGUAUUAUAGUGCAGUGAGAAUUUUCAACGCUCACAAGAUAGGGAGAUUUUCCACAAAACCAAAAUUCCUCGAGUGACGACAUUGGAGUUGAGGACAUUGAAAGGCCAUAAGCUGACCCUUGUGUGAGCCUUCCGGUGGGAAUAUUAGGGUCGAACAGUCUAAUUCUACUACAAAGAUUUAGAGAACUUUGUUGAGUGGCUAAGAUUACCUCCGCAUUCCUCAUAGCUCACAAUUUGGCAAUUAAUCACAACAAGAUUGCAUCAUAGAUAGAAAAUAUUCAAUACAUAAAUACAAGUACAAGUUUUUUUUUUCCUUUUUUUAAAUAAUCACAAGUACAUAGAAGAAACUUGAGGAACCAGAAAUCUAUAGGUUACCCCUCUCUCUUCCCCUUUUUUUUUUUUUUUUUUUUUUUUUUUCUUGGGUUUGUUUUGGGUGUCGAGUGAUGCUAAAAGAGUGUAUGAAUCCCUCGUCAAAGCUCAGUAGACAUUUUGUUAUCUUUGAGACGCCAUUUCCUGAAAAAAGGAUUGACAAUAGAUUAUAAGAAUCAGGGGAAUUAUCAGGCACUGCUGCAACAUGCUGUAUGCAUCAGUAAUUAUUAUCUUUAAUUUAGGAUGGGCUUAUUUUCAUAAACGGGCUAAGGAUAUCUGAGCGUAUAGGGCAAGCCCAUUUCAAGAAAACUAGGCAGCACCCCAAAACUGCAGUAAAGUUCUGGGCUGGGUCCAGAUGGACGUGGUUGUACACUUAUGCCUCGUUUCUCGUUUGCUGUAAAAUACAAAGUAAUUGGGCGUGGACACGAACUGAACAGCUUGUAUGGGCUGUACUGGAGUUAUUAAUGUACGGACUGCAGAAAGCAAGGCAUUUGGCACUUGACCCCAACUGGAAAAUCCCAAUGCUUGUAAGUUUUUCAUCCAAAUUCACUUUUACUUUGGGCAAAACAUUCCUAAUGCUCAAGUUUUUCAUCCAGAUGCACAUUUAUUUUGGGGAAUUUAACGUUUGGGUUGCUAUUUUUUGAAGUUUUUUUUGAGAAAAUUUAUGGUAACGAUUUGAUGCACGUGAGGCGUAAAAGUGAUUAAAACAUGUCUUCACGCGGAGAGGGUAAAACCUUUUCUGCGAGAAACUUCAAUCCAAACAUGCUAAGUUUACAGGUGAGCUGCUUCCUAAAUUUUCUACAGCAAAAGGUUGAGAGAAACAAAACUCGGAUUCAGAACAUCUGCAACAGUGCUCUCAUUGACAGUCAAUAAUUUCAUUGCGGUACUUACUCCAAAAUGUUUAUGUUCUAAUCCAGACAUCACAAGGAACAACAAUUCGGUCAGGGCAGGACUCUUAGAACUCUCGCGACUGUUAGAUAGUUGUCACUUUUAUAUUUUAAGUAACAAAAUUGCUAUAUUUCAUUCACCUGGUAUGUAAAUCUGGCACCAUUCAAAGAUGUAACCCUCCAGAUAUAAACACCACUAGUUUAAGCCAACAACCGUCUAAAAUGAAAGCCAAUAAUGUCUAACCAAUAAAGCAAUAAUACAAAAGAGUCCCAUAUAUAUAUCUUUUAGUAUUUGCCCAAGAGGGGCGGAACACCAACAAAUGAAAUGCCCCAAGAAGAGCCAACAGGCAUUUUGGAUGAAAUACAAAUCAUAAGUUCAAGAAUGAGCAUCAGUCAAUGACCCAAGGAAUAGUUGAUAUCUCAAGUUUUAUAUUAAUCUCAUGAUAUAGUUCCUCAUAAAGAUGCAAAAUUCCUAUAUAGUUAUUAACAAACUGGAGAUUAGCAAAAUACGAAGGCAACAUACAUAGUUAACAGUGAUGAUUCAUAGCUGCGCACUGGUAUAGGUUAAAAACGAUGCCCGACUACUGACUAAAUACCUGCAUAAAUCUGCAAACUCGCCAUCAAAUAUUACAGUCAUUGACACAUAAGAAGAACAAAUCUGUCCUUGCAAAAUUAGGGUACUAGCCUAAUUCUUCGUGUUGUCAUUUGCAUAGCAUCUCAUCCCAAAAUCUGCAAAAGAAAGAAAAAACAAGAAAGUAAAGGAGAAAACCUGAGACACAGAAACAAAGAUGCUUAGCAUUGCUAACAAGGCUGGUUUUGUCUGUUAUGAUGCUUCACUAUCAAGAAUAUAAAUUAUGCUUUCAAAAGCUAUUCACUUCUCUUACGUGAGCAGCGUUUAUUACUAGUCGAUCUGGUUUACACUGUAACUUUUAUGUGGUGACUUUUUUUUUUUCCGAUCAUUGCACCACUCUUUUGGGUGUGGGGAAAGGGGGGGGUGGUCGUGGAGAUGCGACAACCAACAGAAGGAAAACAAAGCAAACAAAACCCUACUUCUCAGUGAAUGAACUGAAGCCACUAAUUACGUAUUCAAUUAUCCAAAAACAAGAGGCAAUAAAACAAAGACAUACUAGACAAAAUAACAAGCAUAUACGUACAGAACUACUUUUAUCAUCAAAGAGUCCGUGAAAGUGGAUUUUUGGUUCCUGGUUAGACCAUUUUUUUGCUGAAAAUUUUGAGCACUGAUCUUGUAACAACUAACUAGUGUGAGUUUUUUGUGAUAUGAAAGGAAAUGACCAAUUGGUUACUUUGUUCUUCGUUCACUUUGUGAAUCAGAGGGUAGAAGAUGAUAUACCUGCAGUGAUGUACCAGCAGUAUAAGAGGGUUGUUCCUGACCUGAGGGGUGUGGGGCUGAUGGAAACUUGGAAAAGUUGGGCGUGAGGAAUGAAGCCUGGUCCGAGAUCACUACAGAUCGUUGAGCCUUUUAUCACAAACUCUAACCUGAGUUGGGAUCAAAGAAAAGAAAGGAGAUCCUUAAUAAGAAUAAGUGUAGUAGUAGUAAGUCAUCAAAUUAAAGGAUCUUGGAUCAAACUUCAUUCCAGACGCCCUCUUUCCCUUUUCCUCCUCCAAGAAAUUAAUCUGAUUCUCUCGGCUUUCUCUCGCUUCUCUCUCUUCAUGAUUCAACAAUGAAUGCCUAGCUACCUAGCCACAAAGCUGCAAAAUAAAAGCACUCUCAAGCUCUCAAUCUUGUGAUUCUAGUGUAUAUAAUUCCUACUGCCUAGCCCACCUAACGACAUCAAAUAGUGGUUGGAGACUUGGAGGAGACUUGCUUAUAUAAAAUAAGGGAAGGAAAUACUGCUACAUAAAUAUGUGCAUGCACAUGUGGACAAUCACAUGAUAGACAGGUCAUAUUAGGAGUAAAAUAAUAAAAAGCUGGUUGAUUUUGGAGGGAUAGUCUUGUCUUAUACUUCUGAGUUCUGAGCCCUUUGUUUUUCUUCAUCAAAGAAAGAGUGAAGAGAAUGAAGAGAGCCUGAUGACUGCGCCACGACAUGAGGAGGACUUCCGUUUCUUUUCAAUUUUACAGGCUAGCUUUUCUCUCCUCUCUCUGUUCAGUAGAAGUACUAUAAAGUAGUGGUAGUAAAGUUCAGAGCAGCAAGAGUGUAAGCUUAGCACUGAAAAUAACGAGUAGAUGGGUCAUAGGAGAGGACAUGGGCCUUCCCCUAUCGCUAUUUAAAAAAGAGACAAAAGAGAGAGAAAACACUGUGGCCACAGUGAGGAGGGAGGAGGAUUGACACAAGGAUCAGGGCUCACAAGUCUUUAAAGUUGUGACAAGAACUCCAGAUGAACAGUCCAUCAUAUCCAUCAUCAUCUAAAAGCGUCACCGGCCAUAUUAUAAAAGCUCCAUUCCUAUCAACACCACAGUUUGUGUUGUGUAUAUUUGCGUGAUAUUUGUGUGUACUCUGCUGUGAUUGGGCAACCAUGCAUAGAAGAUGGAAAGAAAACAUAAAAAUAAGAAAGAGAGAGAGAGAAAGAGUGAGAGAGACAGGAAGCAACGGGUUUGCUUGAUUUAUUUCAGCAGGGCGUUACAACAAAAAAUAGUUGUUAAUAUGGAAAUGAGGACAUUACGAUCCUGAUUCUUAUCAGUUAUCUCCUACUCAAGAAAUGUGGAACGAAUGGAUUAUGACAAGCAAAAGGAAUUUGAUUGAACAUCCAUCCUGUGUUUUAGUUCUGACAGGGUAAAUAUCAGUAAUUUACCGACUGUUAUUCUGAACUUUGUGUUUGUGGAGCACAAGAUUUUCUUGAACAAUUUUUACGAAUUAUCGUCAAAAACCACAGCUGUGAGCUUCAAAGCAAUCCUUCGCUUUUAAGUCCAAUCUAAUCAGUAAAUUCUGCUUCUCAUCAAUGUAACUCUUCCUCCCUGUUAUGACUGGUCAAUUGGAGGAUUAGUGACCAUUUAUAUACUAAUGGCACGAUGAUGGAAAGCACCCAUAAUUAAUUUGGUUGUGAAAUAUAUCUGGUUAAAAUCACGGUUAAUUUUGAUACACCGUAGCGCUUUGUUCCCAAAAGUUAAAUCUAGAUUGAUGUUAAAUGGAUGACAUUCUAAAGAUAUCGUGAUAAACUUGGUGGGUACAAACAUAGAAUGCAUUGUUAGACAAGCAUAGUAAUUAUUUUUAGGGUUUUUCUAACAGGUGCCCUUAGAGCAUUUGUUAACAAACCUGACGUUCACCUAAUCUAUCAUAUAAAUAAAUAUAUACAUACUAAUAAUUAUUAUCCACCCUUAUAUUUAUGGAUUAAUCUUAUAUACAGUAUAUAUACAUUAUCACCAUUAGGCAUAUGACACGUGCAAUAUUUGAAUUUUAAAUUCAAAAUUAUUUAUGCAUCAUCCAUCCAAUCGUGACAGUGUAUAUAAAAUGUACUCUAUAUCUACAAACUUUUCCUAUUUAAUAGUGCUUACUCUCAUUUAUAUUUAUUUACUUCCACUAAUUAAUCUUAUAUUUCAAAAAAUAUAAAUAUCAAAUAUAGCUUAACAAGUGCUAUAGGGCACCCAGACCAUUAUUUUUAUCCUAAUUUGGACCCUGUUUGGCACUCAAGUUUUUUGCCAAUUUUUUCUCUUACAAGUUUUUUUAACAACUUUAACUCAAAUAAUUUCAAAAAACUCUUGAAAAUUUAAAAAUAUACACCUUACAAUACCCAAAAGACACACAAAUCCCUUCUUUAUAUUUUUCUUUUUCUUCCCCCCACCUCAACCCACCACUACCAAAGUCGCUGGCCACAAGCCACCAUUUUUUCUUUUCUCUCUCCUCCCCUCCUCUCUCCUCCUCCUUCCUUAUCACUUCCUCUCCUUCUCCCCUCCCCUCCGCUCUCCCCCUUUCCUUACUCUUCCUGCUAUCUCAUCGCAGUGACUAGAUCGUGUAUGAGAGAAGGGAAGGGCAGUAGGGGGAGAAGGUGGUGAGAAGAGUGGAGAGAGGUGGAGGAAGGAGAGGAAGAGGGGGAGAGGGAAGGAAGAGAGGGAGGAGGAGAAGGGGAGGAGAUGAGACGGAGGGAGGGAGAGAGAAAAAAGAAAAAAAAUAGAGAAGGUUGACAGCGCUAGUCGCCGACACCGGAGAAGAAGAAUAGUGAGACGGGGGAGAAGGAGAGGAAAAGACAGAAAAAGAAAGAGAAAGAGAAAGAACUGGAAAAAAGGCAAGGUUUUUUUUUUUUUUGUUAAAAAGAAAAUUUUUUACACAACUCAACAAAUUUUCCUACAAAUUCUAAGUAAAUUACACCAAAAAAAUUCAUUUACCAAACAGGAAGUUAGACCUAAUGUCUUGAUUUUCUUGUUACGAACAUGGAUCAAUAUUCAUCAAUUAGAAAAGGCAAAAGAAAAGAAGAUACUCAUACUGCUGCCGCUGCUACUAAUUAUACUGCCUUCAUCAAUAGAGUCAGAGGAAAUUAAAAUAAGACAAAAGAGUUCGAGGUUUUAACACAAUAGUUACUACUUACAAGGUUGACUGGUGCGUUGUUAGUUAGGGAUGGAAAUUUUGGGCUGUUACGUGUACGAGUGAGCUCUCCUUCUCAUCAUGCGAAGAAAAGGAGUUGUUAGUGAUUUUUUUUUUUCUUGUCAUAGGUCAACUUCUAUGUAGGAGUUGUUAGUGAAUGAGAAGCUAAAGAGUGUCUGUCAGCUACGCGUCAGAAGAUCAGAUCAAUUAAGCUUCAAAUAAUUGAGAUGGCAGCGCAGCGCCAACAUUUUACCCCCGAACGACUAUUGGCAUCAAAGUUGAGACCAACCAACCUUUUACUUUUCGUCCUUUCCAAACUCCCUACGAUGUUGAAUAUUUGAUCCCACCACGCCACGCCAUUUCUAAUCUUUUGUUUUUUUUUCUUUCAACAAAGAAAGUAUUCUAAUUUUGUCAGACUAAUUUUUUCACGUCUGUGCACCACACUCUCAAGAAUACAUAAGCGAUAGAGAGGUGAUUCGAACACACGAUCUCAAAAUCUAAUUAAACUAUUUCGAAACCAUCCAAACCAACUCCAAAAGACAAUCAGACUAAUCUUUGUUAUUUAUAUAAAUUUUAUACUACAACUGCUAUGAAAAGAGAAUCUAAAGAGCUCAAGAGAACCCUACACUAAUGAAAACCGGAAAGGGGAACCUAAUACAUUGGGAAGAAUAAUCUAAAAAGAUCAAGAGAAUUCUCAGCACUAGAAAAAAUAUUUUAAAAUUUGUUUGAUGGCCAACUACUCUAGCCUAGAGUGGUUAGCAGUUGGUUCGCUCCAUUUCUAAUCGUUUCUUUCUUUUCGCUCCCUGUGCAAAUCAUGUACGUAAGCCCCACGACACGACACGACACAACAAUCAGGCUCAAUGCAAAAGCUGAAAGGAGAAAGGAAAGGGCUUACUGUUUCUGUACUUGCGUCCUGUGGCCGAAUUCAUACGUUUGUUUUACGAGUCCAAGAAUUGGAACUUGCAAGAAUAUGUGAUUGCUUUGAAAGCCAAUAAUUUUGCACCCUACAGCUUGCAAUUUCACCAAAUUGCUCAAGCCUAUAGACGACAAAAUUCAAGUAAUUAUUUGAACUAAGCAGGAAAAAUUAUUGGAUUUUUGACUUAACAUUGCUACACCCAAUAUCUGAAACAGCACCGUCAUGCACAAAAGUCAUCAUAACAUUUGCGAAGUUUGUAGUUAAUGAAUUCUUCCUCAGCUCAACGCCAUCGAGAUCGUAAAUAGGAUAAAGAACUGUUAAGUCGAAUUACUCCGUCAAAUAUCAUUUUUCUUCGAGGAGGGAUUGGGUUGGGUAAUAAAAUGAAAGAUUCUAAAUUCAAGAUCUUCCAUUUUUCAAAGAAAAAAAAAAUCCUUUUUUCUUCAUAUGAUUUUGUUUGAUUACCUUGCACAUGAAUCUCGUUCCCCGCUGGGGGCUAAAAUUUCAAGUCCUGCUUGAUUUUUACUCCUGCAACUAGUAGAUAUUUUAAAAAAAAAAAAAAAUCUCUUCUCCUGUUUUCAAGAUUGGGUCCUAAACGAAAAAUCGAUUGCUAGAUUGCGUUAAAGUGGCAUCAUUCUCGCUUUUGAGGAUGACCGAUGCUUUAUGUUUGCCGAUGAAUGAGAUAAAUGGCAAUCACGUGCAUAUCUUAACCCAUUUUACAGCUGCAUGUUUGGCUGGGAGUCACCCGGUUGAGUUCAAAAAAGAGUGUGUGUGUAGAGGAAAUGAACUUCUUAGCCCCCACAACGAAAGUGAGGUAGAUUUUUAACGUUGCUACAGAUAGGUAUGCAUGUAUACCAAAAAUUUGCCCAAUUGGCCGAUCCUCCUCCCCCUUCUCUCCUCUCUUCAAGAACUGGAAACUUGCUUAGAAUUUUAGAAAUUGAAAUAGGAGAAAACGAAAGGUUUUAACAGGAGACAAAAUAGAGAUUGAAAAACGCUAAAUCUACUUUGGAAGAAAUGAAACAUCCAAGUGACGAUUAUUGACUAGUCCUGAUCAACAGUUACAAAGAGUUGAUCAGCCAGCUUCCGUACUGAAGGAAGAUGUAUGCCAGGGAUGGGGUAAUUUGCUGCAAUCCCUAUGACAAAAACUGCUUCCUUAUUCAAGUCAGGUGGUGAAGAAAAUACAAAAAGACCACCGUCCAUAACGAAGCACCUUGUGAUUGCUGUUUUGAGCCUGCUCCGGAUUAUCUCAGGUUUCCAACGGCAGCAGACGAACCAAAUGGGAGUGAGGACUGACCCAUCAGAGGCGAACCGACAUUUAUAGCUUGAGUUUGAAGAAACCAAAACAAUAAAAAUGAAGAUAAAAAGCCAUUGGCCAACUAGCUACACUGUUACAAUGCCCUAGGUGGAGAAUAAAAUGAUCUGUACAGUUAAUUUACAUUGAAACCCUGACUAAGAAAAGAUAAAAGGGAAUUUACAGUCAGAAAAGACAUGAUGGUCUUCUCAUGAUGGGUUCCUCAUGAUCUUCACGCUGCUGUAGAAGCGCUUGAGGUCUUUCAUUGCCUUUUCCUCUAUCUGAAUCGAGCGAAUAGAUGAAGGUGUCUCGACCUCCUGCUUAAACCACCUGUUCAGACCACCGGAGUCUGAUGGUGAACCUUGACCACCUGCCACUGAAAAGCCAGUGGUUCUCGUUUUUGGGCUGGAAAGAGAUUGCUGAUGUUUUCCCUGGGUUGAGAAAAACAAAUUGACCAACUAAAUAAACAAAAGAAGUUAAUUGCAAUAUUGUUGGUCAGGUAGGCUGCUCAAGAAGGGGCUCAUAAUGGACACACAGUAACUCAUUAAGGCACAUCAAGAUAAGAGAAAGCGUGUGUUCAGAAACCCCAUACCUGUUGCAGUUGGAUGUCCCUGAGAGACGGACGAGAAAGAGAAGGUGGAGUCCCUGAUGCAGCCCAAGGUGGUGUGUUUCUUUCUCCAUCAGAAGCUUGAGUCGUCUGUGUUGCAACAACAGGUAUCGGAUUGGAGGGCAGAAAUGAACCUAACCGAAUCUUGGUGCCACUGCUUCCAUCAGUAAUAUCUUCCACAAGAUCGGUGGACUUUGCGGGCUUUAUUGCCUUUAUUUUACUCUGCUCAUCCUGUAUCUCACGCAGAGAGGAGGAACCCUUAGAAAUCUUAGCACCACCCCAAGCAGGACCCUCACAUUUGAGCACUGAUGGAGGAGGUGCAGUACAUUUUGGAGCAUCAUCAAGACCACCACUCAAGAACAUAGAAAGCCCGCCUUUUCUGUUCUUCUUCCUUGACACAGAAUGCAAUGAACGAUUAUUUCUUUCAACUUCUGCCAAAUUUUUCGUAAUGCUAGUAGAAUCUUCAGGAAAUUGUUUAUCUGCAAAUCCCUCAAGAUCUCCACUUUCAUCCUAAAGCACCAAAUACAAUGAGUAACAAUCAUCAAACACUAUACUCCAGCUAUAAACUGGAUUUUCAGAACCCUUAACAUAUGAGAUCAAAUAAUGAAAUGAAAAAGCUACAAAAUCAGAGACUGCAUGUCAACUUUGGCAAUAAGAAGUAACAUGGUUCAUGUUCAAGCUUCACAAAAUGCCUAUAACCUGAUGGGGACUUAUCAUAAUAGAGUCAGAGAUACUCAGAAAAUUUUGACCAAGCAAAGUGGUAAAUUCUGAAGAAAAUAAUUUAAUCAAUGAACAACUAAUAUAAAUAGCUUCCCGCGAACAUCCCUAGCUAAAACAUGCUUCUCUUCUAUUUUCACUAAAUAAAAUUAAAACACACUUUCUUACAUAUCAAAGAUCUAACUACAGCAAAGACUACAAGGUUUUACCUUGUGCUUACUAUGAGAUGAUUCAACUUCCACACAAGUCUUUAUGGAAUCCAAGUGAUCAAUCUUUUCACAAUUACCAGAUGCCUCUUCAACUUUUCCUGCCCUGUUUUUGCUCUUUCUUCUUUGCUUUUUGGACACUGCUUUUUUACAGCCUUUACCAUCAACAGAAACAGAAGAAGAUGCUUUUGCCUGAAGAGUCUCCAUAGGCGCCCCAAGUUCAUCAAGCAAGCUCUGCAAAGCUGUCCUGGUCUGGAGUUUCUUCAUUUGCUGGUCAUCCAGGGAAUGACCUUUCAACAGCUUCUCUUCAAGCAUCUCAAUCUGCUGUAACUUCUUUUUUAAAGCUCGAACCUGUUUGGAAACUGCUUCCUUGGCAUCAUCAUUACACUGCAAAAAGCCAUCUAAUCUUACAGCUCUCUCUGCUAUGGAGGAUGGUCUCUGUAUACAGGUGUCACGUUUCCUAAGAAAUUCACUGUCACUAUCUUCUUCUUCACUGUAGAUGAUGGCAGGGAAGGUAGCUGUCGGGGUUGGAAGCCGACGAUAACACCAUGAUUCAGUUGACUUCAAAUCCAGCAGUUUUUCAAGGCUGAGCAAUAUGUCCAACGAAGUGUUGGUAAAAGUAUGCGUUGAGACAGCAAGAAUGUAAUCAAGGUUGCGAAUAGCAAUCUCCUGCAGGAAAAUAGUUUCAUUUUUACAAGAUUUCAUCAAUUAAAUAGAAGUAGCAAUUCUGGUCCUAGACAAGCACCAAACAUCGCGAAUACAAGUUUGAUGAGUUUAAAGUGAAAGGAUAAUUACAGAAAAUCACUCUCUCGAAAUUUACUCAGGUGCUAAUCAAUCAAACAGGUCCAAUGGCAACACACUAGAUCAAUGAGGGAACAUGAAAAAAUAGCACAUUCCUUUAAAGGCAUUCAGCCAGCUGUGGUCAGAUAAAGGAUAUCACCCUGAACAGGAACAUAUUAACUUGAAAGAAGAAAAAAAAAUAAGAAAAAGAAACUCCAAUUACCCCCAAACAAAGAAACACAUCGCGUGACAAUGCCAUUAUACUCACAGAACAAAAAAUUUCAGCUACUCUUUUGGUUACUAUUAGACUGGUGAAGAAUGGUUUUUACAAAAUAGGAGCCAUCCAUGGCAAUUUGUGGAAACAAAAUCAGAAUAACUGUUUAGGUGUUCAAGGGACUGACAAUGUUUAUCAAGUGAUCUCUCCCUUCUGAGUUACCCACUUAGGUUACAAGCCAAGAAUGCUUAAGCCCCUUAAUAAGUUUAACAAAAUGGUUGAGGCUAAAAAAUCACUUGGAUCAAUACCAUCUUCCAUAGCAUGGUAUGCAACUGCAUACUGCAAAACCAAAAAAAGUGCAAGUUGUCUCCCAUAUGGGGUAACCCAGCUUAAGGUGGCCAGUAAGUUAAACACCCUUUUUCAAGUAAAAUUUCACUGCUCACAACCUUGAAAUUGACAGAAAAGAGCAAGUUGAUGCCUCAUUCACAUUUCAAACAACCAAAAAGCCAGAAACCAGGUAUACCUAUUAAGUUAAAUCAGAAAAGUCAUCAGUUAUACCUCAGAAUGCUUCCUUAGGUCAUCUGCUCCAAGUGAAUCUGCAAUUUCUAGCAGCUGAAUAGCACUUCGUGGCUCCAACAAGUACUCUAUUGCGACCUUUUCGCACAAAGUUUUUAAGCUUGGCACGGUCUUCAUGAUGCCUUCCUUUGGGUCAAUGGAUGAGACAUCGUCAGACUCUAGAUCAUUAAAAAUAAAACCUUCAUCGAAUUCAUCUGUUUCAAUCUUGACCUUUUGCUUGACCUUCUGAGAACCCUUGACAAUUUUAGGAGAAUAUGUAGGAUGAUAGAGAGAACUAAUAAUCAGUAGAUGUGUCUCUCCUACUGAAAUUGAAGUUGCCUUUUUCACACCAUGUAACCUAGUUGCAAUAGGUGGUUCAUCUUUUCUGUUCUUUCCAUCCCACAUAUAAACAUCACCAGUGUCAGUAGCAGCAGCAGUCCAGUACUUCCCAGCUGAGAUGCUAACAAUGCUUCUCCCACAUAGUGAAUAUAACUAUACAACAAAGAUGAAUAUUCAACAUUCUUCAAAACAAAAGGUCACAGAGGAGGAAGCAAUAAUUAGCUCAAUUAAGUAAAACCUGCUGGCAACGGAGACUAGGAUCUGAUGAAACCCAAUAAAAAAGGGCCCCAUCAUCAGUUAGAGCCAUGCUAUGCGUCACCCCAGCAGCUAUGGCACCAACAUGAAGGCGCUCCUUCCUGUGAAACUUCAGAAGAGUGUUCCCAAGUUUCCUCGUAUUUCUAGCAAUAACAACACGUCUUGGGGUAACAAGUCGGUAACCCCAAGUGAAUACCUGCCAAAGAAUAUGGAGCUGCAAAAUGACUAACAUAUAACAGAAACAUGAGAUCAUUAAUAUCAUCACUUUAACAUCUUAUUCUGUAAAUACUAUAUGAACAUCUGCAAGUUAAAGGGAAGUUACCAUAAAUGUCCAGGUGUCUGAUCAUUUGAAUCAAGUCUAUGACAAUUAGAUUUCGGGACUACCUAGUACAAACUUUGCCGUGUCCUAGUCAUCAGCUAAACAACCCAGAAUAUUGAAUAUUGAACAAUUCUCAGAAUAUUGAACAACUUCAGACAUCACAUUCCUGAUGAAGAGAUAGAUUUGUUUCUGAUAGGUCACAAGCCAAUCAAAAAAUGGAGAUGGAAGUUGUAAAGAUUCUGUGAACCUCAGGAAAUCCAGCACAGUAUCAAGUUUACUUGUCUUAAAUUUAGAUUAAGCAAAUAAAUACAUUAGAUUUGUCCCACAGACUAUAAGAUCCUUCAUUAGGUGGCAAAUAAUUAUCAUUUACCAGCCAAUCAUGAUUAAUUAUUCCUUGCAUGUCAAAGUUAAGCAUCACACAUGUGCCAGGACAUGUUAGGGGGGCAAAAAAAAAAGAAAUCUACUCGUGUAAAGCCAUAACAAUUGCUUAACUUUUCAAUCAGGCAGUGUUAAAAAAAAAAAGUGGCAACUCCAACAAGAGGAGGAAAGGCAGAUAAUAUAAACAUACCUCACCAUCACUUCCCAAAACAAUUGUGUGAUACUUGGCAGCAGCAACUGCACUGAAAACCUUGCCCUUCAAGUAUUCAACUAAUCUUGGAGUGUAGUUUGAAGCAGAGUUAGAGGUGCCAUAACCAAGCUGUCCCUCUUUAUUGCAGCCCCAAGUGAACACCUCACCAGAAUCGGAAAUAACAGCAGUGUGCUUGUUUGCUGCGGCAACAGCAACUAUUCUUGCCUUUAAAGAACUAACUCUCCUGGGUGUAGGUUGAGUAUCAACAGAUGUAUAGCCAAGUUGACCUUCUGCAAAGUAUUAAAGAAAGGUUAAAAAGUGUCAAGACCCAAAUUCUUCUCGUGUCAAUCUAGCAAUUUCAAAACUUUAAAGCGCACACACUAUUAAAAACAUUUGCCAUAAUCCAUCCUUUACGUAAUGAAAUCUACUAGGGGAACAAAAAGAAAUCGAGGAAAAAGAAAAACAUCGAUAAGGGAUGCACAAUAAUAUUAUGAACAAAAUCAACAUAAUAGAUCUUUAUUUUAGAGAUAAAACACAGCAAUGAAAUAGACUGUAUCUCAAAUUCAUAAGAAAUAUCAAUAAUUUCACCUCUAUUGGAACCCCAAGUAAAAACCUCCCCAGCCUGUGUAGCAGCAACAGUGUGAUGCUUAGCUGCAGAAAUUGUUUUAACUCGGCGUGCCCCUAAACCGGAGCUCACUUGCCGAGGAGUAAUAACUGCAGCUUGACCACUGUGCAAAAAAAAAAAAUCAUGUAAAUUAUGUGCAGAAUUUCAGAAAUCUUGAACAAAAGCAUGAGAAAAAAAAAAACAAGAAAUCUGAUAGUAAGUGCUAUCUUAACUGUUUCUCAAAUAACUUAAUAGGUAGACGAUUAUCUUCAAACAAAUUAUAUUAUGAUUGAAAACAGCAAAAAGAAAAGAAGGUACAACCAGCUUUCACAGUAAAACAUUGGUCAACAAACACAUCAGCAUGCAUCAAAUAACCCCACAAAUCCAUCGGUGAACAGAGACAGAUGGGCAACAAAGAAUAAUAAUACAACAUUCAAAGUGAAAAAGGCAGACUAUAUAAAAUCUAAAAGGUGCUAAAACUAAAUAGAAGUACUUUAAGAAUUAGAAAGACCUGAAAUUAUAUGGAAUUAGUUCAAAAGAGUGAAAACUACAAUAAAUCAAGUAUCAAUACUGGAUUCUUGAACCUGCAAGGGGAAAAAGGGGGGGGGGCACGGGUUGAAGCUAUUCUAGUUAUUUACCUGUGUAUAUCAAAUUCAGGAUGCCCAAGACGGCCACCUCUCCCGAAUCCCCAGCUAUAGACUUCACCUCGAUCAGUAACUGCUACACUAUGGAAUUUUGCAGCAGAAACCAAUUUAACAUAAGAACCAUAGAGUGUGUCAACUUUGCAUGGUAGCUUCUGAAUAUGCGCAUUUCCAGUCCCCAGCUGAUAAUUCACACCACUCCCCCAGCUAAAGACCUCUGUAGCAACUAUAACAUACACAACAAACAAACCAUAUCAGCGUAAAUAUCAUUUCCUAUUGCUUAACAUUCAUCAGCAUGAGACCUUCUAUGUAAUAUGUUCCAAAACAUUGCCUACCUAAAUCGUCUCCAUCCCCAACAACCUGAAGCACAGGUCCGGAUACAAGAUCUAUAGGCGUUCGAGAUUUAGAGUCCUCCAAUGUGAUAGAAGCACCAGACUGAAGAAGCACACUAGCAACUGUGAGGUGACCGAAAUGCAUAGCUCUAUGAAGGCUACUCCAUCCUGAUUCACUAUCCUGAGAAGUAAAAGCUACACUUAGGUAAUGAUAGUAAACAAAUUAGUUUGCUCUUUAACAGCUUAGACUUUCAAGUCAAGUGAUAACUCAACAUGGAGUCAUGCAAAUAGUCUGAGUUCACGUGGCAUUGCAUCCAAAUAUUUCCUCUUUAUUCUCAUAGCCAUUUAUUUUAAACUGGCAUGAAGAUAGAUAGUAAUAUAACUCAUUCUAAUUGCAUAACUCAAUAGCAAGACGAGGCAUUUAGAACAACAUGCAUGAAGAGAAAUGUAGCAGCCAUGUCAUUUGUAAUACUAAACAGGCAUCAAAAUUAAAUUCCAACCUACAAUACAAGCUACAAGCAACAGAUUUGUAAAACUAAUAAUUUCUCUUAAAAUAUAACAGGUAUAGCAUAUCAGACAAAAAAUAAUCAUGUAGGAUAUCGAUCAUUAGUCAAAAAACAUAUCAAACGCCUUACCCCUCCCACUAAGGAAAAAGGCAGCAACAUACAAGAAAUUUACUAAUUUUUGAAAAUUCACCUGGUUUUCUUCAUAACAAAUUCCUUGUCAUCCAGACAUUUACUUCAAGGAUAACCAGAUACAAAACUGAACCCAAAAAAAAAUUAUCUUCACAGCAUGUGGUCCCUAUUGAAAAAUUUAUUCCCAAUUUAGAUUCCUUCUUUUGCAACUGAUCUUCACAAGCACUAAGACAGAGACAUAGCCCAGUGCCUUGUCAACUUACCUUUUGAUUUGCCGACUAACAUUUUAAUAAGCAACAAGUGAUCAUGCAUAACAUUACAAAUUCUGGAAGAUCUAAAGGAUCAAUAGAUAAACACACCCUAGCAUUAGGGUCUGCACCAGCUGCAAGCAGCCUUCUGACAAUAGGAACGUGGUUUCUCCAGGUUGCAAUAUGAAGAGGUGUGAGGCCAAACGAAUUCCUUGCAUUGACAUUUCCACCACUCUUCUUAAGCCAUGCCAAUGCCAAAUCUACAUCAGAUAAAGAUCCCUCCCUCGCCACAAGCCACAGAUCUUUAGACAAUCCACUAGGUAACCUUUUUUGAACAGGAGUUUGCAUAUUCUUCUUCUGACAAAAAUGUGGUACCACUUCGUGCAUCAGUAUGUAUCAAAUAUGCUACGCCAGAACAGUAAACUUCAAAUUUCCACAAAAAAAGCCCUUAUCACAAAAUGAUGUAAACUUCAGCAAGAAUUAUCUGUCACACCCUGCAGGGGUCCUCAUAGCAAAGCAUCAAGUCAAGCACCAAUUUCCUAAUUGAUCAUCCUGCAACUUCGACAUCUUCAUUUUACCAUCUCAAAAGCAAUAAAACUGAAGCAGCCACCUAAAGAGCCAAUGACACAUAAAAGGCAAACAUAAUCAUCAAAAAUAGUGCAAGAUCACUGCAUUCCAUUUUUUAUCAGAAGAAGACCUUUCACAUAAUUGUUUGAUCAUUUCUAGAAUGCAAGUGUGUAACUAAAACAAAUAGAUAAAAGAUAUGUAUAUCACAUUUGGCAAUACAUAUUUAUUUUCACAACAAAUAUGCAAUACUUCAUACCAGGAUGGAAUGAAUGUAAUUUUCAGUAAAAGCCCUAGCCAUCCCAAAACUAUCGCUGAGGAUUCAAAAAGCUACAUCCCACUAACUUAGCUCUAUCUACUGGUCAAGCUUCUUUUGCCUUCUUUUCUUAAUUCCCAAUUUCUACAAUAAAUGCCACAGAUGUUGCUGAGUGAAACGACUUCAUGCCUCCUAUUCUUCACCUUCCACCUCCUGUCCCUAAAGUUGUAUUGUCAUUUGACUAAUUUCUUGCCCUUUUAAAUUCCCAACCACCUAAAUGGGUUCAAGUCCACAAUUUCUCUAUUACGGUGAUGCUUUAACAUCUAAGAAGUGUGGUAAUUGCCCAUCUAUUGCUUCUUAUAUCUCCAUUGGUUCCUUCUCUACUGCAUCAAUAAAAAUGAUGAGAUGCUGCAUGACUGGUCAAGGUUGAGCUAUUAAGCUAUUCUCAUCUAAUAAGAUUUUUAUUUGAUCCUAAUAUUAUAUAAUAAUCAGCAAGUAACUUAUGCCCCAAUACAUAUCAAUUGGACAAAUAAACUAAAAUAUGUAGAUUUCAGAACUCUCAUCAAAAAGCUUUCAUGUAGAAGAAUGAGCCCAUAAGAUUGUAAGUAACACUCUCACACCAAGCAAAACAUAAUAAAUUGAAAUAUAAAAUGAACUUAUGAAAGAAGUAUCUUCUUUUUCUUUUUCUUAUUUUCAUGUGGCCCCUUGGGAGAGGGAUAAGUAGAGUAGGUACAAUCCCAGCUAAGCAAGUCUAACAUACAUGUUUAAGAGGAAGAACCAAAAAGAACAAACGCAAACAAAAGUAGUCCAUGGAAGCAGGCCACCAAAGUAAACAACCAUAAGAAUUUGGAAAACAACGCAAAUUUGUAACUUCUAACCAGCAUAAUUGGGACGCAAUUGAGAAGCCAAAGAACAUCGCACUCAGAAAAUGAAGCGAUGAACCUAUAAGAAUCAAAGUUCCACAAGACUGCGCACAUUGGAUCUUGUGAUUUAUCCAAGAGAGGGAAAAAAAUGCAACUGAAACGUCAAAUUUAGUUAAUAACACAUGAAAAUCACAGUCAAUUACUUCGACGCUUAACCAAUUCGACACACUUUGUCAUAAAAAGACUACUUUUUGAAGAAACAUGGAGCAGUCCACUCUCCAACGUGAAGGUUUACAAAAUAAAAAUCAAAUUUUUAAUCAUCCAAUGUCCUAACUCAGACUAGUAAAGAUCAACCUAAAAGAAAGAAAAACGCUAAAAAAUCAUACCAAAUUGGAUCAACAUCAAGCAGCGCAGUUACAACUAAUCACAGAGAAAUAAUGGGUGUUUAAAGAAAAAAAAUUGUUAUAUACAGAAAGAAGAAAACGACCCCACCCACCUAAAAUCACCAAUAAACCAGUUGAAAGAGCAGCACCCCAGAUAAUUAAUGCUCAACAAAAUUACAUCACUUUCAAUCAAUGGGGAAAAAAUAAGGAGAAGCUAUAGCAGAAGAAAACCCAAAAAAGAAUGAGAAUCCAAAUGAGUAACUACAUCACCUUGGAAUCAACGAAAAAGUAGUAAAAGGAAGAACCCAAUCUAGCGACUCUUCUAAUCCCUCUCUAUCUCUCUUGUUAAAUGGUUUUUAAUAUCACGCAACAGGGGUGAGGGGUCUUAAGUGUGGAGGUUUUAAAGAGACGGAGAAAGCGGAGUUGGAGAAUAUACCCCCAUAAGAUGCAAUACCGAAGAGAGAGAGAGAGAGUGAAUUGCAGGGAACUGGAUGCCUCGAUGGACAUCUAAGGGCAAUUUGGGAAAUUCGUACCAUACAGAAAACUUCCACGUACGUCAACGAUGACACACGGUACAAUGAAAUGGCAAUUUUUCAUUCAAGCUCCAGUGGCAUACUAAUUUCUUAAUUACUGCCAUCUCAUGUCCCAUACAUGCGUUUUGCAUAUAAAAAAAUAAGUGCUAUAAUAUUUUUUUAAAAAAUUUCCAAAAAAAAAGUGUUUCAACUAUACACGUGGCACGCCGUACUGGUGCUACAUCACUUUCCUUUUCCUACCUGUUGGGAUGUUUUAGAAAAUUUUUUGGCCUUCCUUCUUGUUAUAUUUUGGGACGUGGUCCGGUAAAGAAUUAAUGGCAUCGAACUACUGGCUCAUCUUAUUUGAGCUUUUUUCAUUUAUCAAAUUCCAAUGUCAGCCCAAUCGUUUUGAAGAAGUGUUCAUAUUUGGUCAUAGAUUAGAUUCAAGGUCUUUCAAUUGAAAAAAAAACAAUUCGUACUUGGUCAAUUGAUUGAAGAUUCUACAUAGACUAAUAAAACAUAGCCGGUAGAGUGUUUAGAUAGCACUAUUAUCUCAAAUAAUAUUUCGUUUGUAUCAUAAAUAUAUUUUUCGACUCACUUUUUUAUAUUUUCAACCACAUUUUUUUUUAUCUUACAUACAUCAUAUCAUAAAAAGUGCUACAGUAAUUAUUCUAAAUAAUAUUUCAAAUAAUACCCUAUCCAAACAAAUUGAUUUAUUGACUUUCGCCUCGUAAUAUCUUCAGAUGUUUCAAUUUCAAGAAACAAAUUCUUUUUUGCAGUUUCGUUAGACUACGUACCAUGCUUUCCUAGAACCUUGAUUGUGAGAAGAGUCAAAGGUAAAAUACGAUUAAGAAAACAAAAAAAAAAGAGAAAAAAAAAAUCACCGUUAGUUUGCUCCAAAAGUGAGAUCGUUGUUCCUUUCCUUGUCAACACUCAAUACAAUCCUACAUUAACUGGAGAUAGAAACAGCUACGACAUUAUCUAGAAUUAUACCUGGCAAUUGGACGGGUUUGACGGGUUGAUAUUGGGUUUUUAUUUAAAUGGAUUAUAUCUAAUCCGUCCAACUUUAAAUCGGGUUAAUUUUGAAUUGGGUCAUAUUGGGUCAUCUCAAACCCAAGACCCAAUAUAUUAAUUAAUAGAUUUUGAUACAUAAAUUCUUUUAAAUAUAUUUUUUCAUACAAAAAUUUUUUUUCACAUACUAAAACAAUUUUGGUCCAAGUUGAAUAUAGCAUGAAAAAAUAUUAUACCAAUAUUAAACAAGAUCCAAUCACGCCUUAAUUAAAUUGAAACUUGAUAAGAAAGAUACAAUUCUCAACCAAUUAGUUCAAAUAUCACUAUCCAAUUCAUUUGAGAUUUGUGACUUUUGGGUUCUUUUUAUUCAUUAUUAAAUAACCUCACUUUGCACUUUUUACACAAUUAUUGUGGUUGAAUAUCAAUCUUGUCUUGUGAUAAACCUUCAUGUCAAUGGCCAAAAAAGGGCAAAAAAAAAAAAAAGAUGAAGAAGAAAGAAAAUUGGACCCAUGAAUGAUCUAAUUGACAAAUUUUAAUUAAUAAUUGAGCAACUUAUGAAAGCAAUUAAAAAUUUGCCUGCAUAUUUUGCUAGAUUUUUUAGGGACUAGUAAAUGCUUAAAAACACGAGUUGCUAAUAGAAUCUCCCCAUCCAAAAGAUAACAAUGGAAAAAAAUAUGUAUAUGUACAUUAACAUGCAGUUGAACAGUAAUCUUCACAAUCCUAAAACCAAUUAGUAAAGGAACAAGAUGUGUAUGGACUUGCAAGUUUGCUGUCUUAAAGGGGGAAAAAAAAAAACAGCAAGCCCGAUGCAGUUGACAAGAAUGUGCCAAAAUGCUUAAAGUUCAGAAAACGGUGGUGGAUUGAAAAUUCCCAGACGAGAGGCCUCCAUUGUUUUUUUAAGUUGGAUAAUGGGUACCCAACUUAAUUAUUCAAACCGCUCAAAAUACAUGUGAAUUUUUAUUACCCGACCCAAAAUUAACCCAACACCCAAUUUACCUAACCCAGCCUCUUAAAUUAGUGGAUAGAUUGGGUGAGUUGUUGGGUUUUGGGUAUAAUUGCCACCUCUGUCUAGAAUGACCCAGCAUCUACAUUAGAAUAAUAAAUUAUGAAUUUAAUUUUUAUAUACACUAACAUUAUAUGUUCUGCCAUCGUUAUAUAUAUAUAUAUAUGAUACGUACACAAAAUUUGAAUUUCAAAUUAACUAUCGUGCAUUCAAUUGUCAUAAUAUAUUUGAUAAAAGAUUAAUUUAUAAGCUAUUAUUACAUAAUCAUAUAUAUAUAUAUAAUAAAGUCGUAUUCUCAUUCUUAUCCCUUCAUAUUUUCUCUUUCCUACGUAGUUUAACGAGACGGCAAGUAGUUUUCUACGUGGCUUGCUCCUUUUUCGUUUGGAUAUAUAUCCAUUGUUAUUUUCUAUAAGAAUUCUUAAUAUUAUAUGAUUCUUAUUUCCUACCCAAAAAAAGGAAUUGGAAAGUAAUGCGAUAUAAAUAAAAGAGACAUAAAUAUUUUUAUUAGAUAUAUCUCCAAAUUCAUGCCAAUAAUUUGUGUACUGCAUAGGGAACCGAAGUAAAUAAGAAAUGUUAUCACUAUGAGAAGUAGAAAAGUAACUAAUUGCUGAAGUAAAUUAUUAGAUGUUCAAAUUUAUAUUAUAAGAAUACUUUGUAUUACAAUGCGUAUAUAGUAAUAUACUUAAGAAAUGUUAUAAUAAAAUAGACAUUAAGUUUGUAUUUCAUAUCAAUAUUUUUAUAAAAUUGACUAAAUAAUUUAUUAUUUUUUAAAGAUUUCCGUUCAACGAGCGGGUACAAAACUAGUUUUAAAAUAUUUUUCAAUUGAAGAGUACGGAAUUUGAACCCAUAGUGCAUGUUAAUGGGCAUUUUAAAUUCCGCAUCUCAAAUCUUGGGGUUGGACUUGUGGUACAAUCCAUCCACGUAAUUGAUCCAAUGGAGAGAUAACACGUCAGUAAGGAGAUCACAACAAGACCAUUAGCGGGAAGGUAUUGACGGUUGAUCCUCUAUUUAUGACGGCCCGUAUCUAAGAAUGGCCCUGCGGUCCACCAGGCACCAACUAGGUCUCUCAAUUCUGUCUUUUUGAAACCAACAGCCAUUUGAGACCCCUUUUUGACCUUGCAUCUUUUGUUAGAAUUGUUUGAGAGAAAUUUAUGGUAAAAUAUGUGAAGACAUUUAAGAGUAACUAAAAAAAAACAAUAAAAAAAGGAAAAUAAAAAGGUAAAAAAGAAAAAUAUGAAAAAAAUCUGAUUCUAAGCAAUUCUUUCGAUUUUCGACUAAAUCCAAUCAAAAAUUGGAUUUGAUCGAGUUUUUGUUUGACAAUUUUUUAGAACAAGCCUGACUGAAUGCUUGUCUAGUUUCCAAUUCAAUCGAUUGAACCGGUCAGUCUGAUAGUUUGAUCCAAGUCUCAAAACACAGUUAGGACUUGGGACGACUAAUGCCUUGAGAUGAUAAAAAAACAUCGCAAUUGCUUGCAUUAAGCGCCACUGCCCUGCUGCUGCUACUAUAUUUUUAUUUAAGGUGAGAAAAUAGAAAAGGAGGCCUCAAAGUUAUCUUUUAGGUGAAAUUUUUUAAACAAGAGGCCUUAGUCCACUUACAAUUCCUUUCAUCUCACUGCGAUAAAAAAACCACUGCGUAAAACCAUCCCUCGGCGUCUAUCAGUUUUUACCUGAUUUUAUUGCCAUACUAACUUUCUACCAAAGAUUAGGUAACAUUCAAUGGUCCAAUAACACUGCCUAUUAAACAGGAACCCAAAACACAACCCAUGACAGCCAACACGAAGGAGCAUAGCAAUUGCCAAGUUUCUUGAACUACACCUCACAUUUUAUAUUAGUACCUUGGAGUUUUUCGACUAGGCGACGAUUCGCUUGCCAAAGGAAAACAUAAUAGUUAAAAAAGAUGACAGUUCAAAGCCGGAGGAUUGGAGAUGCAUAAAAGCGGAGAGGGCUAAUUACCAUUUGGAUUCGCUUGAACAUAACGUCUGUUUCAGAAGACUUUUUCCCGGAUAUUCCUUGUUUGCUGGACGAGCAAGGCAAGGAGGUUUCUUAAGUUUCGGCGUCAUUUAUAGACGAAAUCAAUUUCAGUGCCUGGAGAUUUUAAGGUAUGCGCUACGCACAGGACAGCCUCCAAUGGCAUAUGGGAGAGGCUCGAAAAGAAAUGUGUCAAGGAGGGGUGUCAAAGGGGCCAACGCUAUUACGCUAGAAUCUCUCACCGGGUUGGUCCAAAUGUACUGGAGCCAAAGAGGUUGGAGACUAAGGUUCCAUUUGAUAAAACUGAAUUUAAAUUCUGAAGUCUACAUUCUGAAAUCUAAAUAUUAAAACAAUUAAUUUGUUGAAUUUUAAUUACUGAAAAAAAUAUAUGAAUGUCUGAAUUUUAAUGCUAAAUCUAUUUAUACUGUUUGAUAAAUAUUUAUAACUGAAUGUUUAAUAAGUUUAAUUUGACAAUUUUGCCCUUAUAUCUUUUCGUUCAAAAAAGAAAUAGAACCUAUGAUUUAAUUAGCUAAAAAUGUUAGGUAUGAAAAUGACAAUAUUUAUUUUUAAAUCAAAUUAAUAUAAAAAAUAAAUUUUAUUAUAUGAGUAGUAUGGAGAAGAAGUGAAAGUCAUUCAAAAGGGAGGAAAAGAGAAAUAGAAAAUCAUUGAUAGAGAAUAUUAGGUUGUUUAAUUAUAUUAGAAUUUUGAACAUAAUUAAUAAACAAGGGUAGAUUUUGUAGAUAAGAUAAGAUAGUUGAAGUAAUUCUAUUGGUUCUUAUCAAAAUUAAGCAUUCAGUUAGGAUUUUUGUGCUAAAAAAAUACACACAAGUUCAGCACUACUUAACAAUGUCAGCAAAUGGAUUUUCAUUUAUCAAACACUCAAAACAUCUGAAUAUUUGAAAAAGUUCACAUUCAGCAUUUUUUUAUGUUAUCAAACGUACCCUAACACUUCUUAGCCAACGGAAAUUGGAAUACCACUGUACAGACUACACAGAUUCGCAUUUUGUUAAGCUGCUAGUGUAUUAUAUUCUGUUAAAUCAUCACUCCUUGUCACCUGUAAUUUGUUUAAUGGAAAAAUGCACGUUCUUUCUGCUCAACCUCCUUGUAAUUUUGUUCAUGGUCAGUUGCUGUUGGAUCCGGAUUCUCGCCUGCAACUGCAGAGAAUGGGGAAUGAGUCUCGAGUCUACCAGCCAGGCAGACUAAACGUACCCAUAAACAAAACAAGACCCACCAUCACCCAUAACAUUUCAAAUUGAACUAACUGGUGAAAUUGACCGGAAAAGCGCCCGAGUUAGAAUUUUUUAACUUUGACAUUUCUUAAGUAAACGUUGACCUUAAAAACUCAUUUCGAUUGAAUUAUGCUUGUAGCCAUACUUCCACAUGGAUAACUACAAUUGGUGGCUGUAGAGGACGCCGAAACUUGUAACUUGCAAACGACUGCGAAUUUAUUUAUAUCCUAUACUAAUAAUUAUGCAUCCCUUACAACCGCUGAGUGGUGUUAUGGCUCUCAUCUUCUUCUGUCAGUGCAUUUGUACUCUGAAACCCAGCAGGGUCAGCUAAAUGACAACAUAUAAUCAAAACACGAUUUAAAAUUUUUCCACCCUUGCCAAAUGAACACUCUUGACAGAAGCAUUUGGCGUCUUAAGAUAGAUCUUCUUUGAUGAAGGGUUUGAUUGAAGGCGCCCAGAUUGGACAGAGCUUGUGGACAAAACGCUACUUGAAAUAAUUAGUUGUAAUUUGUAAAUGUGUUCGACUAAGAGUGCGAGCUGUGCAAAAAUGCUAUGCGAAUUUUCCUCGCACGUUAUAUCUAAUAUAAAGAAUUGGGAUGCUGAAGAAUUAUGAACGCAUAACUCAGACGGCACCAUCUGACACAAUAGAGUACCACAUAAACUAAGAUGAAUUACAUUGCUAAUGGCAAAAUACCUCGACUCAAACGAUAUACCAAUGAAAAAAUGCACAAAUUGCACACCAGGUUCGUAUUCCUAGAUCUCAGACCACAUAUACUUCUG